rnacentral:lncRNA from 1 species
GACCGACCGAACGGGACCGGUCCGGCGGUGAACGGAGGUCGGACGGCGGCGGGAGGACGGCCGGAAUUCUGCUGGGUGUAGAGAGAAGAAAAUCGGGUGGGAGGAGAAGAAAAAUCGGGAGGGAGGGAGAAGAGAAAAGAAAAAGGGUUUGGGCCUCACACCCCAAACCGGUCCACACCAUUUAUAACCCAAACUUCCAAAAUAAAAACACCCCGAAAAAUAAUACCCGAAUAAAAAUUACCUUUUACUAGCUAAAAUUUACUAUUUUUACCGUCGUCGUAUUUUCCUCAUACGAAUAAUCCUCCGAACAUAAUCGUCCCCGAAACCCCUCUAGGGACCAAUUAAACUAUUUACUCAAUGAUCGAGACGGUAAAAUUCUUAUUAUAAUCACGCUAGUAAAUAAGGUAAAAAUAUAAGGGUCGGGAUGUGACAAUUAAUAACUUUGAAAAUAAUAUCUUCCGACUUCCAAGACUCACAUAUAUAUAUAUAUAUAUAUAAAUCUUUAAUAACCGACAACAGGGUAUGACAAUGAAUACAACAUGAACGAAAAAAAACAAAGGUAUGCAAAGUAGAGACUAUUUGAAAUAAAUCCUAGAGCAUUUUACACACCUUGUGCUUGUGAGCUUGUUGUUCUCUAUAUAUAUCUUGUGCUUUCUGAUCAUAUGUAUCAGGACCCACCCCGAAUUUCACCCUGAAACCCGAAGUAAAUCCUGCGGGGACCACCUCCAAGGAAAGUUUACCGAAAAUUCGGCAUAACCUCCCUUGAAAAUGGACAACCCUUCCUUAUAAUACCUGCAAACACUUCUAAAAAAUCCAAAUCCAACCUUAAACUCUUGGAGCCUUCGUGCUCCCCAAAUCACAACACUUCCCAACUUAUUCACUAAUCUAAAAAAAAUAAUCUCAAAUCAAACAAUUCAUUGGUUCAGAGCAACUCUAAAAGGAAUAAAAGAGACAGAAAAACAAAUAAGCAGAAGCUAUAAUACGAACUAUGCCUCGACUCCAAGUACGCCGGACCUCAACUAAGCUAACCUGCAAGCUGGGCAUUUUUAAAAUGAAGAGCCCAGGGGAAAACAUUUGAAAACGUUAGAGUGAGUGGACAAAACUGAAUUCAAUAAAAAUGUUUAUGCAUUCCCAUUUAUUUUCUAUAGAAAUUAUGUUGCAUGCAACAAGCUUAAAAGCUCUCAACUCAUAAACUGACAAUAACACGACUAGCUCCGGCUAGUCUCCAAAGCUUUAUAAAAUAGAGCCUCUCAGGCUAAAAUAUAUGUAUGUACUUACACACGUCCAUACUCCCUAUAUAAAUUCAUGGGUCUAUAUAGGGCUACUAUGCUCGCGUCUAACGCUCACGUCACGCCUUAAUGCGGUGCUACACUACGCCAUUAAGGUGGACAGACAGGUGUAUAAAUAUGUGUCCAUACCCCCUAUAUCAAUUAAGCACUCAUAUAGGACUACUACGCUCACGUCCAACGCUCACGUCACACCAUAAAACGCCAUUAGGGUGGACAGACACAUAUGGCUAGCUAGCAUUUAUAUACAUACUCUCCUCAUCAAUAUAUAAUUAUAUUCACCGAAAAUCCCAUUUUCGGUAACUCUUCAAAAGAAAUAAAAUCGUCAAAAUAAAAUGACGUCAAAUGCUCCAACAAAAUAAAUAGCUCAACAAUCAAUCAUUGCAUGCAUAUUAUUUAAAACAAAAAUCCACUCACAGUAUCAGGCCUUAGACUUCCAAUGCUCGCAAUACUCCUCGAGCUCUGCCUCCAACUAUUCACACUCUCUAACCAAUCCCACGUCUGACGAUAAACAGAGGAAUAAAUUGGUCAGAUCGGACUCCAUAAUAAUCAUCGAUUCAACUUCUUCCUAGUUUGGCUAGGAUUCUUGGGUUGACCAGAAUUGACCAAGUUUGACCAAUUGAAUUAAGGUAGGCCAGGCCAACUAAUGAAGUUUGGACAUUUCCAAAUUAACCUUUGACUUAACGAUCCGAGUCAAAUCACCAAAAAUUCUACUAACCGUUACACACUUGGCGUCAUUUAAAAAAUUCAUGAAACAUCAAAGCUCCCCAACUUUUACGCUUAAAAGAUCGUUUUGGCAACCUUCGGAUUCGAUUAACCAAACUAGCGUAAAUUCAAAGACUCAAAUAUACGGAACACAUUAAUCCGGAAAACCACUAAAUUACUAAGGGCACCCAAAAAGGGUUUCUAUAAAUGGAAAGUUUCUAGAAAAGGAAAGUCGCCAAGCUACCUUUACGGGUUCUACCGGAAUUGCUGCCUCCCCGUAACCUCCAAAUCACCAAGUUAUCAACAACAACAACCAAAACAUUCAUAUUAGCAAUCAAACUCCAAUUUUCUCAAACCACAAUCAACACAGCAGCAACCCUAACAACUCCAUAUGCAAGAAGAUUACCUUCAGACGACAACAAAGCUUCUCUUGCCGGCGGUGGCUCUCUUGCCAGAUUCCGGGUUCAUGGUUCCUCCCACAUAGCAGCAGCAACACCUCAAGUCUCCACAACCGAUCGUCUUGGCCUCUUGAUGCUUAGCAGGUCGUCAGAAAGGAGACAAGAGGUACAAUGAAGCCUCAUCGACUCUAGCAAAACCCGAAGCACAUGCCGGAAACCCUCGAACGCCGGUCGCCGGAGCUAGGAGCUCGAACCCAGAAAAGAGAAGAAAGGGGUUUCUAGAUUAGGGUUCGAUUCGUACAUUCAAGGACCUAGAAAGGAAGAGGAAAGUGAGGAGAUUAAGAAUAUACCCUUCAACGCCGUCGUCCUUGCCGGAGCUCGCCGGAAAAAGCAAAACACAGUCGCCAUCCUUCUCCUUCGAUCUCCGUCGAGAGUGGAUGACUUCCGGAUUUAAGGACUGGGAUGAGUUGAGGAGGAGGAGGGGAUUACUUUGGUGGCGGUCUAGUCGCCAGGGAUGGCCGGAGACGGCGAUGCUGCGCUGGAGAAGGCAAUGGCAGAGGGAGACGAGGGAGAAGAGAAAGGGAGACUCGGUUAGGCUCGGUCAAACCCGAGUUGGGGCUUUGACUGGGUCUGACCAGUCUUCCUCUACUUAACAACAGAAAUGGACAACAGGUGAUCGAUGAUUAAAGAUCAGCGACCCAGAUUUUUUAUAAAUCGUAAAACAUAGCUCGAAGCUCUCAAAAAUAAUCCGAUGAUAAUGGAGAACUCGUGUCAACGCGCACUACAACCUCAGAUCAUUAAUAGAAGAAUUUAACAUUUUAAGAAAAACUCGACAAUAAAUUCGAGUGUUAAAUUACCAAAUUACCGAGCACGUUUAAAUUCUUCAGUAACUCGGGAAAUACCAAGUAAAUAGGUAAAAUUGGGUCCGGGAUGUGACAAUAUGGCUAAUUAAUCAUUGUUUUCCCAAAGCUAAGUCUUUUUUUAGUGUUAUACAACAAAUAUAUUCUUCGUUUUCAGCAUCUACAAAGAGAUGGCAGGUUUCUACAAAACAUAUGACAUGUCUUACUGUGAAGCCAUUAUCAAUAACUUGUCAGGAAAGUCGUGUGAAGAUUGUUAAAGUAAUAAGGUGUCAAUGUCUACAGAUAAGAAAGGCUUUGAUCCGCUUGGUGAACGAUAAAGAAAACGCAAAAAUAAACAUUUAUGGUGAGACUUUUAAACAAUAUAAUCUUCAAAACUUUGAGUUAAUUCUUGUGGGUUAUGAUUGUAUGGUAUGAGUUGUUCUAUGCUAUUAACAAUGUCAGCAAAGUUCUGCAAGCUGAAAAUAUGAAUUUUGAUACGGCCAUCAAAGAAUUGGAAUGUCUUCUUUCCUUUCUUCAAAAGUAAAGAGAAAUCGGGUUUGAGGAAUUCUUGGUUGAAGCUACAGAGAUUUCUUGUGGGAUGGGGAUUGAACCAAUAUUCAUGAACAAACGAACAAUUCACAAAAAUAAACAAUUUGGUGAAAUCUCUAAUGAAGCGGUGACACAAACAGUUGUAGAAUCCUUCAAACUCAACUACUUUGUUUACAUACUUGAUCAAGUUAUUUCUUCAUUCAAUUAAACUAGGUUAAAACUAUCUUCAUAAUCAUUUAAUAUGUUAGUUAAUGAGCAUGAGAUUUAUAUAGUUUAUUGAAUUCUUUUUUCUAGACUAGAUUUGAAUAGUCAAAUACUUGAGAAGAAAAUUUUGGUCUUCUAUUUGAUUUGGACAAGUUAAGGUCGAAAGAUAGAGAUAGGUUGAAGAGGUUUUGUGCUAACCAUACAAAUAUUUUAAAGCUUGACCAUAUAUCUGAUAUUCUGAUCUUAAGAAAUUUAUAUAUCUCUCUAGUCAAGAUCAAGUUGUGAGUCAUAUGAUAAACCACUUUCAAUCUACUUUCAUCAAAGAUGCAUAAUAGACACAUGUUUGGUUGCAAGAGUGAUUCCAAAUUUAGUUACUGAAUUUUUUUUUUACUAAAAACAUAUCGCACUAGCUGCAUAUAUAACUAAUUCUCACAUAUAUAGCUACACCGCUACAGGUUCAUAUUUGUAGUUUUAACCAAGUAUCAUUCUCAUAAACAUAAGUAUUUAUUAAGAAAACUAAAUACAUUCAACAUGGGAGCUCAAUGAUAACAAAAGAAAAGUUAGUCCAACAAGGAACAACAUAGCUCUAUGUAGGAUGAAUUGAUGGGUGGCUGCAAUUCUGGAUAAUAGUUUAUAAUAUUAAAAGUUCAAAGUUUCAAAUUAUGUCAUUUUUAUGAUGAGGCAAUACUAGGACAGAUCCUUGAUCAAAGGAUUGUUACUCACUCUUAGUUUUUAUGUGUAACUAAUAAUCUGGUUGAAAAUCUUUCUAAGCAGAAGUUCGUAGUACUGAUCAUUUCAUGUUUUCUACAUUGAAGAAGCCAAAGUUCUCUCUCUCUCUCUNNNNNNNNNNNNNNNNNNNNUACGUACUACUACUACUCUCUACUCUCUCUCUCUCUCUCUCUCUCUCUCUCUCUCUCUCUCUCUCUCUCUCUCUCUCUCUCUCUCACAGAGUUAAUUCUUAGCAAGCUCCUUCAUUGUUCUAAAGUUCAGUGUCAUAUCUCCUGCUGCAUAAUAGUUCGGAAGAUUGAAAAUGUAUAUGCACAAUUGAGUCUGACAUGAGAUUUAUAUAUAAAUGUUUGUCUGUGUUUCCAAUUGAUAUAUGAUUUGGUUUUCUUUCUUUGAUUUGGACCUUAUUUCAAAAUAAGAAUUAAAAUUUGUUUAGUCCUUGUGGUUUGAAGUUGAUAUCUAUUUAGUCCUUGUGGUUUUAUUUUAACCACAUCAGCAAUUUAACUGAGAAAAUUGACGGAAUGACCAUUUGAAUGAAAAUUCGUGACUUUAAGGACCAUUCAAAUUAAAAUAAAAUCACAAUGACUAAACAUAUGUCGACUUCAAACCACAACGACUAUACAAUAUUUUACCAUCAAAAUAAUUCUGUUUAAUUAGAAAUAACAUGCAACUCAUCUAAACAUAAAUAUAAACUGAGAUGAAUAAGUAAUCUUCAUAUGAAAAAGAGGUUCACAAGUGUUAUCAGAGUCGGCUUUUACCUAAUAACACAUAUAACCUUACAAUUUCAUUCCUAAUGUUUUCUGCACCAACUGUCCACGAAGAUUAGAAGUUUCAAUGAUAUUUCCUCUUGGUUCAUCACAUAUCACAAGCUUCAAGGAGGAGCAAAACAUAAAUUGAUUUUCUCCAUCUUCCUUAACUACAAAAAGUUCAAGGUUUCUUAAUUUCUUUCUUAGGUUACAUAUUGAGUAUACUGUCAACUUGUUGCUGAAAAAGUUCAAUUGAUUGCUGCUUUAACAAUUGAACAAAAGAGCAUAUUCAAAUAAUGUCACAAAUUACUUGAUAACCGGGCUUUAAGGUCACUCUAAGAGAAUAACACUCCUCACAAGUUUCACGUUGAAAAGCUUCCAGAUAAUUUAGUAACUGAACUUCAGAAUAUUUCUCUUACACAAAAACUCCAUAAAUAGGCAUUACGACUUGAGUCCUUCUUUACCAUCCCCUGAAGAGAUUAAAAAUACAUUUAUUUUUUUUGCAAUGGAUGAAUUUAACGCGCGCCCAGUCCAGAUAGUUUUGGUGGUUGUUUUUUUAAGAGAUGUUAUAUAUAGUGUUGUUAUUUCAGAUGUGGUCACAGCUAUGUAGAGGUUUUUCACUACGGAGUUUAUUAUGCCUCACACUUUACUUCCAAUUUUGAUCAAUAUGAUUCCAGAUAAUUAUUUUACAUGCCAUUAAUUUGUUGUAAUCUUCUUUAUCACCGGGUAUUAGAAACUUUUUAAUGCUAUCUUGAACUUUGAUUUAAUUGUUCUCUACAGAUCAGAGUGAUUUAUAACGGUAUCAGAUUAACAGGCAUGAUCUAUGGUUGGUUGCUUCUUUGUGGUUAUGAUUUCUUUCUCUUUUUUUUUAGAUCAUACUUUGUGACCUUUUUUAUUUUAUUUAUACAGGCCACGAAGAUGGGUAGAUAGUUAAACAAGAACUGAGUGAAAAAGCUAGAAGAAAGAAAGAUGCAAAGAAUUGGAAAGAGAAAGAAUUGCUGGAGAAUGAGAAGAUCAUCGUCGGAACCGUAGUUUUUCUUUUUUGAGAAAAUAUGUUUUAACUAGCUGAGAAUAACAUGUAUGGUAAGCCAAUGAAAUUGGUGUAGCAAGAAACUUGAAUACUUAAUUACAUAAUGUUUAUAGAAAGGAAAACCUAUACAUUGUAGAUAUAUUUACAUCCUACUUGUUUUCUAAAGCCAAUUAGAAGGAAGCUAAGCAAAACCACUUAAGAGCCAAAAGGAGAGUUAGCAUAGACUUAGGCAAGAAGUCAAGAAGCUCUGGCAAGAUAUACUCAAGCUAAACAAUUCAAUUUAGUUCAAUCGUAUGAAAAAAAAUUGUAUAAGAAAACAACGAAAGUAGCACAACCAUUCUUCCCAAACACACACCAAAAUAGAAUCAAAGCUAUAAAGAAAUGUUGUUUUUUAUACCUCAAACUCCUAGGAAUUUGAUACCAAAAUUAACAAGAGAAGUCAAGCCAAAACCUCCACAAACACAAAUACCCAGUCCACAUACUGAUCCAUUCACCUAAUAAUGGAAUUUUGGGUGCGAGCAGACUCCUUUCUAUUUAGAAACAAAUUAAUCGAGAAUAACUAAAUUUUUAAGAGAUUGGAAACAAUGAACUUACAAGAACCAAAUUUUGUCUAGAAGGCUAAACACAACUGAGUUUGGGUAAAUCAGUGAAUAAAGUCUGAAGCAGAUCGAGUACAAAAAGAAAAGAGAAUAAAAAGAAAUAGUGUGUUCGUGUAUGGCUGAGAUGUUAUCGUACAAGGGAUGUUUGAAUCAACAACUCAGAGUAAGUAACAUGGAAAUUUCAGAAUAUGAUUGAAUAGUUCUAAUUAACCCCCUCCCCAAUCAGAUAUUUCCUUCAAGUUAAAUAAUAUUAGUUAAGUAAAUAACUAUAAAAACAUGUAGUCCAAUUUGGACUAUAACAUGUAAUCCCUAACAAACACAAAAUCACAUCUCACUUAGAGCACAAUAAACAAAAACUUGGGUUUCGGCGGAAUCCAAGAACGUCAAUUCGUUUGCAAUCUUGUACGAUCUUGUUAAUUUGCCAUGAAAACACAAAGAAAUUUUCAAUAAAAUACGAAAUAGAUAGUUUGAUAAAAACCUAUUUUAAAAUUUAAGUCGUCAAAAUUGUGGUCUUGUUUAUCAGAUUUAUAUGUGCGGUCAGCUCAAUCUUGUGGGUAGUGUCAUUGAACAUAUGAAUGUUGUACUAGUUUACUCUUUGCAUCGUCUCAUUUUAUUUAGGUCAAUGUUUUAACUUCUUUAAUUUUCAUAGUAAUCACUUCAAAUAAAUGAGCAGUGAUUUUCAAACAAAGAUUGUUUGCUAGGUCUUCGUAGUUAGUACUUAGUACUCGUUUAAACCGAUUAGGCUUGUGUUAUAGUAUGUGUAAUUCCUUGAUAAUAGCUUCGUGAAGUGAAGUGAGUAUAUAACUUUUUUCAUACUUUCUAAAGAAUACAAAAAGUUAUGAUAUUUUAAUGAUCGAACAAAGUUUUUUUUUUUUAAUAAAGUGAAACAACUAUAUAGGUAGAAGCUUAAAAGAGCAUAGUUACAAAAUAGAUUUUGUUACAAGCAUAUUAAAACAUAUCGAGACAACACAUGUGGAGUGUAAUCAUACUACAAAAGUCUUAUCAAUGCCUUUAGAUUUUUUUUUUUACCACCUUCAUUGGAUAUUAACCACCAUCAUUGGAUAAACAUAGACUUAUUAUAUAGACGAAGACUCAAAAACCGGAUUACCAAUAGACAGAAGUUAAAAAAAAAGAAAAAAGGAGGAGGAUAUCUACUCACAUUCUGGGUUUAGUUGGAGUAGAAUUCCUGUUGAAUACCAUGAUGAUUGUAACAAUAUCAAGAUCCUUAAGAACUCGAAACCUCUGUUCACAAUAAGUAUGGAUGAAAUGCUCUACAAGCCUGAAAACGGAGAAUCAAAACGGGAAAAAGAAAUUUCGAGUUAUCAACGUGCGUAAGAAAUUAUUUUGCACAGAAGAAAUACUUUUUUUUCUGGUCAUCUAGACGGAGAGAUUCAAGCUCACUAUAGGCGGCCAUAAGCCAUAUAUAUGGUGGCGUCAAUGCCCACUUUUUUACCGUCUAACCCCAAUUGGUCAACACUGGUGUCGACUAUAACUUUAGCUGAUUUUAAAUAGGGCAACAAUCCAAUUACCCCAUCACCAAUCUGCAGAGAAAUUGGAUAUAUUAAUUUAUAUUUUUUUAUUUAGCCAUGAAAACUAAAUACAUGAGAUUAAUUAUGUCACAAUUUCACUAAUAUUUAGGUUUGAGUAAAAAAGAGUCGAGUGAUUUGACCACAUUUAAUUUGUAUAAGAAUGACAAUAUACAAUAUAUAAUACAAUACAAUCCCAGAUUGUUACCUCCCCGGACAAGGUCUCAAGAAACAUGCUCUCUCAAAACGAGCCUAGAUUCAUCUUAAGUCGAGCUCUAUCUACUGAGCGAAUAUGGGAACAAUUAUGCACCCAACUAGCUUUUGUCUCCACUAAUCAGACCACUAAUUCAUCUCAGUUUCCUCAUCCAAUUCAUUCUAACGAAAAUUAAAAGAGGUGAUGAAGGUUUGAGGUUUAGAUUCGAUGGUUGCCGGACAAGAUUGGCGUUGUAAGGCCAACAACAUAUGGCUUAAUUAAGACGAAGACCACAACUGGUCACGCCACUAUUUCAGUUUGACCGCAAAACGAAGGAGUAAAAUUUUUUUUUUCUUUUUUAAACAUCAUUACAUUUAGAAAAGCAAGACGACUACCACAUAGCUAGAGCACAAAUAUGAUUGAACUUAAUGGAGCCUUUCUAAUGAGGACCUCAAUAUUGAGGUCUAGUUGAUGACUUUUUGGUUUAUUCCACUUUUCGAUCUUAUAACCAUAUAUUGACCGUUCAUUUAGAUAUUUAUGAGUAAAUCAUUUAUGUAAAUUCUCAGCCAUAGUAAACGUUAAGGUAUUCAUAAGUCUGAUUUACCAAUUAUGAACUUGAACGGUUCAUGUUUGACAGAUUUGAUUCGUCUAUUAAUUUGAUCUAGUUUGUUACCUUAAUGAUCACCAAUUUGGAUGAAAAUACGAAGAAGUGAUCUACUCAUAUAGACUUAAAAACAGAACGGAUGAGAUGUCAAAAUGUGAUCCAAAAAUGGGUUUGUUAAUCUAUAAACCGAAAAAUCCUCAACUAGUAUUAGAAGGGCUCCAUUGAAAAAUAUGGUCUAAUGAACUAUCUAGUUCACAUAUUCAACUAAUCACUUUAUAAAAAAAAUAUUAAUAUUAGAAUUGAUGAAUUCGCUAUCGAGCGGGAUUCAUAGGGUCUAGCCAGCCAAUGGGCCACACAUGAGCUUUGAAUCCUCCUCCCUAGCGCUGAUUCGGGCAGAGCGAGCGCCCAAUAUCUUUCACGGGUAAAAUGAUGACCCUAGACAAUAUGAUAUUCCACAUAUUCAACCUCCACAAAAGAGCAUAAUGGUUAGUUAAGAAGAAUCUCCACAUAUUAAGCUCGAGCAAAUUUGCACAUUGCAUGACCAAAUAUUAAUGUGAUCAGCUUAACCACAUCACAAUUUAUUUAUUUAUUUAUUUUUCCAAUAUUAACAACGGUGUAAUCCUUGAAACAUUUGAGAAGCAGUUCACAAAAACUCUUACCCAUAUAGUCAUCUAACCAAUAAAGAGCUUCAUUCAAAUGGUCAAAAUCUAACCUCUGUUCCUGACAAUGAGGGUUUGCGCAGCUAGAAUCCAUAGACCACCACAGAGAGCAUAGUUCAUGUCAUCCUCAAGAGAACUUGAUGAUGAGGAAGUCAAUUUGUAUGUCAAUGAGGUACCAACCCCCUUUGACUUUACCAUCUUCUCCUCAAUCCUUUCAGGAUAAAAUCAAAAGAGUUUGUGGAUUUAGUUUACCCCAUCAAUUUGGUAGAAAUAACACAUCUUCAGUCAUAAUUGAGUUUUUAAUGAAUAUUCUCAAAGAAUGAUACGUUUUAACAAUGUUUACCUUGGGUGUAGACACAACCCUCUUAAGUGAAUUUAAAACCUUUCGUUUGUUUGUAAUGAUUUAUAUGAUUGCUUAGUUUAAUGACGCCGUUUGAGUCGUGAAUUCUUAGUUGAUACAGUUGGAUAGUUGAAUUGAAAUCUAUCAUGUGCAACCCUUUCAAAUUCGACGAGUAACGAGAUAUUUUUCGUUCUCUUAUGCCGUCGCUUUAAAAGUGGCAUAAAAGUAGAAAACAAAAUCCUAAAUAGCCACCCAUAAAUCUAAACAACCGGAAAGGUGCCCGAUAGAGAAGGAAUCAUCAGGCCAAUUGAUGAUAGAGAUGAGUAACGGUUAUAGGUUUUUGCAAAUGGCGUUUGGCAGAAAAAUGAGUGAAUAUAAAUAUAAAUUUAUUUUUCUUAUAUAUAUAUAUAUUUUUUAAAUUGGCAAUGUUUGUAAUUAUCGACAUUGGGAGGGCCAAUUUGUGUUGGUUAUUUACCCAUACGAGGGUCCAUACCAUCGUCCCCUGAGCUGUCCUUUACUCUCUCUCUCUUUCUCUCUCUGCGCAGAACCUUCGAUUCAAUCCCAUCUCGACCCUCCCUCUCUCCCUCGUCUCUUCUCCUCUUCACUCCUCUUCCCUCAUCUCUCAAACCUCAAACCCCACAGCCAAUUAGGAAAUUCCAAAUUAGGGUUAGGGUUAGGGUUUCGCCCACCACACCUGAUCGAAAUUUCUCCCUCCCUGUAAUGCCCCAGUAACCCUUAGGUCCAAUUCCCCGAACCCAAUGUACGGCCACGCCCACCCCAUGCAGAAUCAGAUCCCCGCCGGCGGUGCCAACGACGACGACGCGCCCGGCGCCGAGUCCAUCGACAACGCCCACAUUCACUACGAAGGCCACACGCUCGAGGACGGCGGCGUCGUCGUCGAGGAGGCCACCUCCGAUGACGUGUACAUUCAAGGCGGAAACACCGACCUCGACAUGGCUAUUCCUUACGAGGGCUCCAGUCAGCUCACGCUCUCGUUUCGCGGCCAAGUCUACGUCUUUGACUCCGUUACCCCCGAAAAGGUAACCCAAUUUUUGAUUUAGGGCUUUUUUGUUGGAGUGUGUGUGAAUUGUCGAAAUUAUGGGCAUUUGUUGAAUUGAAAUUCAAUUGAGUUGGAUUGGAUUAUAACUUUCCGUAUAGAUUUUUGUUCUGUAUCCGGUGUGUUAGUGUGCUUUGAUAACUAACAUUUUGUGCAUUUGGAUGCGGUAUGAAGGUUCAAGCUGUGCUAUUACUGCUAGGGGGCUCGGAAUCAUCUUCUGGUAAUCAAGGUGGUGACAUGGCAAUGCAGAACCAGAGGGUAUGUUCUUAGACCGGAAAGCUUUCAAAUUGGAGAGUUUUAUAGUGUUGAUUGUGUUUUUUCAUGUGUUGUCGGCUAUGUGCAGGCCAUAACAGAGUUUCCGGCAGGCUGUACUCAGCCUCAUAGAGCAGCGUCGUUAAAUAGGUUCCGUCAAAAGAGGAAAGAACGAAACUUUGAUAAGAAAGUCAGAUACAGUGUCCGUCAGGAAGUUGCACUCAGGUGAUUUUUCUGCUCAAGUUGCUGAACUAGUUGAGUGAAAUAAUAAAAAAAAGUUCCAGUGGUGAACAAUUUUUAACUAAACAAUAUAAUUCUGAGGACAUAUGUCAAUACGCAUUGUUGGUUUACUCUUCCUCUCGAAUGAGGGACUUUUAGUUUUGUUUAUAUUACAUUUGUAAAACCCAAAGUUUACUUUUAAGCAAAUAUAUUGUUUGCACUUGCUGUGUGAUCGAUAUUAACUGAUGGAAAAUCUAUACAGGUUUUAAUUUGAUGAAUGUGGAUCCUUUGAUACAUAUGUUAGAUCUGUUAUUUUGGUGCAUGAACUACUUUCUCAGUUUGAUGACAUUAUAAUUUGAGGUGGAGAGAAGGAAAAGAAUAUCUUAAUUACAAUGUCUAUAGUCUGAUUGUAGUUUCUUUAUUGGUACACUCUGUCAUUGUAGAAUCCUAAAUUAUGGCAACAGGUUCAUGUGAUUAAAUGUGCAACUACUUAUCAAAUUAUAUCAACUGGAGCAUCUCCAUGAAAAUCUUGCUCAUAUCUGCUUGUGAUGAAUGAAAACAUAAUUGAUUAUGAAGUGAGGGUUUAGUCAAGUAGUUAGGCCCACGGGUUGCUUCCAUGCUUUAUGGGGUCAGAACCCCAAGGAGAGAGAGAUUAAUGUCCAGUAGAUAUAUGGUUAUGGUACUGCGGUUGAAAUUGUUUUGGGAUUUCUGGGUUAGGAGGGGAUGAUGAGGGGAGAUUAAUAACCUGUAAAUAUAUGGUUAUGGUACUAAGAUAUGCAGUUGAAUGGUUAGUUCACAUAAGUUACAUCAGGCAUGCUUAAAAAGUAUAUGACACUACUAUAAUGAAGUAUGGUGUGUUUUGUAUGAUUUUAUUUUAAUAUGAUCGCAAACUUGUAUCAGCCAACUGCUUAUCAUAUUACAUUAUUAGGCACACUAGGAAACCUACAUUAGGAAGGUAGCAGUUAAUAAUUAAAAGAAAAAAGAUAUCAGUCGAUGAUGAUAGGAAUGGGUUUUGGACUUCUACAGCGUUUGUGUUCUCUGAUGAAAUUGUAUGGUUGCAUUUCACAAUCUCAUGAAGCUUUGUGCUUUAUGGGCCACUCAGUGUUGAUAUGCAGAUUCUUUAACAUAUAAGAUUGUAGCAUAUAACCUUUCUUUCGUGCUUCUACGGUUAUUUAUUUUCUUCUUUCGCCUGCCCUGAACAGGGGAGCCGUUGAAAAGUUCCAUUCAAAGAAAUGGGUUGUCACUUGACAUUGUUGUCCUCUGUGUCUAUGUUCUUAGUUUGGAUCUUAAAGUGAAGUUAUCUACCAACCCCAAUAAUUUGGGAUUAAGACGGUUGUUAAUGUGACCUUUCUCUCAUUGCCGUGCUUUGUUCAUGUGUUGCUCAUUACUGCUCUGGUGUGUUGCUUAUUACAUCUCUAGCUCGACCACUUCAAUUUGUGUUACAAUCCAUGCUUUGUUCAUGUAUCAAUGUCUUACCUCAGGAUGCAGCGUAACAAGGGGCAAUUUACUUCUUCCAAAAAGUCAGAUGGAGAUUACAGCUGGGGUUCUGGCCCAGAGUCAAGGCAAGAUGACAACAAUGCAGAAACCUCGUGAGUAUACUUUAGAGUGUCCUUUCUUUUUUGUACUAUUUUAUUAAUUGCCUGCUUUUUGAGUUUGCUAUAUGUAAGUAUAUAUUUUUACACGUUACCUUUAUAUUUUUGGUGGUGCUUCAUGAUUUGCAACUUUUAUCUGGUUGUCUAGAUGCACGCAUUGUGGAACAAGUUCAAAGUGCACGCCAAUGAUGCGGCGUGGUCCAUCUGGUCCAAGGUCUCUUUGCAAUGCUUGCGGGCUCUUCUGGGCAAACAGGGUCGGUAUCUCUUAUGAGUUAAUUUCUUGAUUUCUUUUAUUGCUGUAUUUCUAUAGAGUUGGUUUCUGAAGUUGUAAGAACUUUUGAUUUUGUUUGUCCUCACGAAUUAGUACACAUUCCUUGAACAUUCUGAAUUUUUGGUGGACUGACUGAUAAUCUGCAACUGAGAAUGUGGGGACUUUAGGUCUUGCAUGUUGUCUGGAAACAAUUAAUAGGGUUAAAGAAUGCCUGACAUUGGGUCUCGGCUCACAGUCUGCAACUGAGACUGUGAGCUGAAUGCCAAGACAUUGGGUCUUGGAUGCUGUCUGCUUAUAUCUAUUAUGGAAUGUGGUGAGGCUGGUUAUUAAUUAUUAUCGUUUUACUUUCUUUUUUCGUUAAAAACAUACAUGGGUAGAUAUAUGUUGUGGAACAUGGAAGAGAUGGUAUAUUAUGAUAGCCUUAUUUUGUGGAUGAGCAAAUCCAAGUAGAUAGUAUCUAUUAACAUAUGCUGUACUUGCACUAUUUGUUGUUGUGAGCAAAUAAAACUUUCUUGCUUAAAAUUCUCACGGGUGCUGGCGGACCCAGUAUAUGCGUACUGGCGGCUUAUGCUGUCACUGGAUUUUUUCCCCUAGUGCAGUUGAUAGGUAAUUAGUAUAAGCAGACAAUCUUUCAAAGAUAAUUUACUUAUAAGUCUUUAACCCCCAAUAGCCCAGCCUAUUUUGUUUAAAUGAUAAGAAGAUCUACUAAUCAGCCCGAUAUUCUAGAUCACAUGAUACUCAUAGUUAAUCAAACUUAUAUGUAUGAUCUAGAAUUGUUUGUUUGUUUUUUGUUCUUUCUCAACACGUUUUCAUGCACCGACUAAACAUUGAAAUGUUAUUGAUGUUCAAAGUUUAUGUGUGAUGUUUAACAAUUGGUAACUCUUUUUUUGAGAUAAAAAAAGUUAUUAAUUACUUUCUCAUUUUCAUCACGCCCGUAUAGAUAAAACCCUAGGUUCGCUACUGGUCACGGGUAUUAAUUCAACUUGCAUAUUCUGACUUUUGGAUUUGAAUGUUUAUUUGACUUUGAUAGCAUCUGUUUCCAGUUGCACUGCUCUAGACAUUUUUUGGGCAUUACCGAUAAAGCUGCUUUCAGCUUAUAACCUGCAAAAAUUGUUUAUCUAGCAGAGACUGCGGUAGUUCUCACAAUUGACAUCACAAAUUUUGCAGGGGGUUUUGAGGGAUAUUUCCAAGAGACCACAGGGUCAUUCUCUGGCAGCUGGAGAACAGGUGUGUUCAUGACCCUCUUGACAUUUGUUAAGGGGAUUAGUAAUUUUGUAUUGCUUGUCAAAAUCAACUUUAUUUCCGCACAUGUGUAAAUGACUAAAUGUCAUUACCCAUUUUCACAGGGUGAGGCUGAAGCUGAUGACUCAGACACUGGAAUGGCAAUGGUUGUACACGGUGGUGCAAAUGUUGUUCCCUUAUCUAAUGGUGAUAACAAGGCUUUAGUUGCUGAAACUUAGAUCGUGUGAUUAAAAUGCCAAUUUGCCUCUGGCAUCACAUUCAAGUAGGUUGGGUCGUAAUUUUCAUUAUGUACAGUGAUAAUAGUGCCUUGAUCAAUACAAGAAGUAAUCUAUUUUUUUCUUCCUUUUUUAAGGUUUGGGUACAGUACCCUGGGAGGACAUAACGUAUUUGCAAAACCUAAUCCAAUUUAUAAUAUCAUGUAUUAUCUUGGCACAUGACCAUUUCAUCUGUCUUUAGCUGCCCCGAAAUACAUUUGUGGUAAUUUGAUUGCUUGCGCAGAACCGCAGACUUUAAAAAUCCAGCGGAGUCUGUAUCUAUGGACAAAACCACCACCCUGAAAUGAUCCUCUCAUGCCUAUUGAGGACGAAGCAAAUGAAAAGGGGCAUCUCUCUGACUUGCUCCUGUGGGCAAGCUUGGAAAAUGGCCAAACUAUGUUUGCUCCGUAGGCAUGUGUUGUUUGGUUAUAUGGGGUCUUGAAUCUCUUUCAUAAUCCUAAGACCGCAGAUUUACCCUAGGCCAGGAUAGAAUGUAGUAGUGUAGGAAAGUAGUAGGAAACAUGGUUAUGAAAGAGGAUUCCGAAAGGCAUGUUAGUCAGUUCCAGACUCUGCCUCCUUGGCUUUGAGCUCGUAUAUGAGCUGUGACAUCGGCAACAAAAUUUGCUUCUUUAAGGAUGUGCUUGAGAGAAAUAUAGCCGAAAUCUCUUGCAAUGUCUUCAAUGAUUUCUUAAAUUCUCCAAGGGGUGUGGCUUCAUUGUUGACAGCAUCUAUAAUACACUUGGAAUCUACCUCCACAACAUAACAUGAGAGAGACCCUUCCUUCUUGCUAACGGAAGGCUAUCUCUUGGAAGUCAGUGUAACACUAUGUUGCAUCUUUUUAACCACCAUUUUAAAUUUUUAAUCAGUUUGAAAUAUAACUCUUGAUGAAAACUUUAACAAGAUCGGAUUCUGUGUACUUAUCAAAUGUCAAUGAAUCUAUUGACGAUAGUAAUACCAUAUUGUUACUUAAUUGGUUCUCAUUUUUGUUUUUUUAGUUCCAAAUGAACUAAUGAAUAAUGGAUUCCUAGUUUCCUACUCUAGAAUAACAUAGGAUCUAGGAGAUACAUUGGUGUUCACCUGCUUACUAAUACACCAAAUAAACUUUAGAGAAAUUUUAAAUACACACCCCUAAUAUCUUAAUACACACCAUUUACUUAAUACACCACCUAUCAAGUUUUUCAUUUCAGUAUUAUACUUAAUAUACAUCUCAAACUGUCUAAAAUGCCCUUAAUUUAUGAAAUAUUCCGUUAUUUAAUAUAAUUAAUAUAUAUUUACUAUUUGGUAUCUCUUUUUACAUAUUAUUUCGUCUAAUUUUUGCUAGAAAUUUUUGGUUAUCAUCGUUCAAUUUAUAAUCAAAUGAUUAUUGUUAUAUCCCAACUCCAAAUCACCAAUACAAGUUUCCAAAAUUUACAAGUUAGUACAACUGUAAAAGUACAGUAGCUAUUAAACAUAGACAACUAGUUAUUCAAUAAAACAUGUCAUAAUAAAGAUGUAGUACUUGACAAUAGACAAUAUGAUAUGCAAGAUCAAACUAAAGCUGAUAAAGAUGCAGUACUUGACAAUAUGAUCUGUAAGAUCAAACUAAAGCUGAUACGGAUACAAAAAAAAAAAAAAAAAAAGAACAACCCAAAUGAAUUGUGGAGAAGAAUUAUGGUUAGGGGAGAAGACGUGUUUUCGACGAUUUUAAGAUAGAAGAUGUUGAAAAUAAUACUUUAAACUUUAAUCAACCAUCCUCUUUAAACGCGAUUUUUUUUUAAUAAUAGAUAUAUGUUUUGGUCAUUUAGCUUACUUAUAAAAUCUUAAUAGAAACAUAAAAUAAUAGGGUGUGUAUUAAGAUAUUAGAUGUGUGUAUUUAAAAUUUCUCUAAACUUUAAUCAACCAUCCUCUUUAAAAUAAAAUAAACUAUACUUAUGAAUGAUUCAUCUCACAAUUGGAUUUACAUCCAAACGUGGACGAAAAUGAAUUUCCUUUUCAGUUAACACGGUUGUAUAUUAAGGAAGCAAAUAAGGAUUCUGAUUGCCAAUAAAACCAUCUAUGAAUUGAGUCAAAAGAACAUUAUCUUGUGAUUAACAUACCUAAUUAGAAUACCUUAUCCACCUAACACUCAUCGUAAGUUGAGUUGGUAGAGUAUACUGCUAGAACAGAUAGAAGUGCACCACAUCUGGAUAUAUCAUAGAUGAUGUUGUGCCGGUCUAACCUCUUUCUUUUUUGUUAUUAUUAUUUUUACAUACACUAAACAUAAAAGUUAUAAUAUGGUAACUCCCGCAGAUCCUAUCUUUGCCAAUUACUGUUCAAUAGUCCCGCCAAAACUUGAUGGUGAGCAAAGAGACACCAGCCUAAGUCAUAUCAGUCAAUUUGCUCAUCACACAAUAGUGACAAUACGGUAAGAAGACAUAUAUGUUUAUUGAAUAAACUUAUAAAAGAAAUCAAUAGACUCACAACGACAAACAAUGAAGUCACUAAUCUUCAAUGAAGUCAUAUCGAUACUUGUGUGGUCUAUCUGUGGACUAGUUCAAACUAGAAACCCGGUAAGAUCUCUAUCAUUGGUGUUCAUCGUGGGAAAGUAUUGGAUGCAUUGACCCCAUAUAAACUGGACCAAUGUCACAUGUAACACUUACGUUGUAUGCGUAGACGUUUAUGUAAAUUAUCGGUUACUUAAAUUACAUGUAAACUGGACCAAUGUUGCAUGUAACACUUGCGUUAUAUGCGUAGACGUUACUUAAAUUAUUGUCACAUUGAAAACAUGUUAUUCGUCACCAAAUGAUAAAAUUUUGUUUCUUAUGAAAUGCAAUCUCUAAUUAUCCAACCACAUUCUUUUCUUUUGUAUGUGCAUCAUCUUUGGGUCAAGACUCAAGAAAGUAGAAACCAACAAAACGCAAUUUCUUCCCCAAGCAAGAAUAAGUAACAUUGUGUACCAUAAUGGCAGUUCUUGCACAAAAAUGCAUGUACCAUAAUGCCAACAGUCAAGUACAGCUAUAUCCACUUUGGAUCAAACUCACCAGGAUGCGACUCCACAGUCCACACUUCUUCCAUAAAUAGAACCCUCCAUAUUCCCUAUUUGGUAAUUUCCCCAAACCCCCAGUCCACUUUCUAAACCCCAAUCACUGCUAAUAAAAUCUCCACCCCACGCCUUCAAUCACCAUCACCAGCCGUUCGAUUACAGUAGGCCCCAUUCCAACAACGCGCAUGUGAGUUGCGGGCCCUACACCCUAUCCUAAUUGAGCCAAUCAAAACCUCCCACCUCACCCUUGCAGCUCAAUCCCGUAGUGCUGCGCCACAGUGGAACACUUACUCUGUGUAGAAGAAUAUAUAAAACUGGAAAGUUUAAUUUGGAUUUUUUGAGAAAAAAGAAAAGAAAUACAGUAUUACCCAUUUGCGGCUAUCUAAGGAAACAGAGGAGCAGGCUCUGCAAAAUUCUUAGCUAUUUUUGGGUUUAAAUUUUAUUUUCGAAGCUUCUUCUUCUUUUUCGAGCUCUCUUCUAUAGGUUCUUGCUGCUGUUAGGGUUAGGGUUAGGGUUUUGUUUCAGUGACUGUAAAUUAUCCGAUGGAGGAGGUAGGGUUUUGAAUUUGGGGAAUUUGGACGAUAUGGCGGCGGUGAAUCCACAGCCUCUGCAGGCGCGUCCGUACGAGGACCACGUGGCGGCGGCGGGUUCGUUUCAGGUGGAGGACGAUGAGGGCGAGUACGAAGACGGCGGCGGCGAUGAGAUUAUGGAGGAGGAGGAAGCGGAGGCUCACGCGAGCUCGGUGGCGCGUGGAGGAGUGAGUGUGCUGACGUCAGAGGCGGCGGUGGCGACAAGGACCAGUGAGCUCACUCUCUCUUUUGAAGGCGAGGUUUAUGUGUUUCCGGCUGUUACGCCCCAGAAGGUCUCACUCUCGAGCUCUGUUUUUUACCUAUCUAUUUAUUUACUGAUCUUAUACAGUAAAAAUAAGAUUUUUUUUUUUUCUUGGUGUUCAGUUUAAUACAUUUUAACUGCAGAGGGUUGAUUUGGGGUGUCAGAGUUUAGAUUCUUUACACAUCCUGUUGGGGUUUAAAGAGUACAGAGCUGAUGGGAUUUAAAGUUGCAAUUUAUGAUCAAAUAUUUUUUUGUAAUAUCUUAUUCAAGAUCAAGACUUUACUACAGUGAUGCUGUUUUGGUAUUACCAGUUAUGGAAAUGAUACAUAUAUAGAAACAAAUAUGUACAGUCACAGUCCCUGCCAUUCUAUUUAAACUUAAAACUUAUAUUUUGAUUUGAGUUAUUUUGUCAAAUGCUCAAUUUUGCAAAGUAAUAUGGAAAAUUCCCAAAGAUAUAUGAAACCAAGUUAAUUUUUUAUCUGGUUAAACUCACAGCCUUUUGUUUGGUAAUGUGGGUUUUUGUGGUUUGGAUUAUGGUUAUUUUAAGACAUGGGUUGAUGGGUGCUAUACAUGCAAUAGGUACGAGCAGUGCUCUUGCUAUUGGGAGGACGUGAUAUGCCAACUGGUGUUCCUACAGUGGAAGUGUCUUAUGACCAGAAUAUAAGGGUAAUGCGUAGGUUGACGUUAAUGUGACCGCUUUCAAUACAACUUCUGUGCUAAUUUUUAUGUCUUGCCUUACACAUUCUUUAGGGUGUGGGUGACACCCCAAAGCGUUCAAAUCUUUCGCGAAGAAUAGCUUCCCUGGUUAGAUUCCGUGAGAAACGGAAGGAGAGAUGUUUUGACAAGAAAAUUAGGUACACUGUGCGUAAAGAGGUUGCACAAAGGUGAGACAUAAACAGGAUCCUUCUUUCUUGUAACAACUGCUUUCAGGUCUACCAUUUAAAAAUAAAUAAAUUCUAGGGUUCAUUUCGGAGAUCAUCCUUAGAUUAGGUAUAUUGGGAGAUCAUUUAUCUUAUUAGUUUCAUAAUACUCUCUUCUCCCUGGUCUUAUGGAGCUAAUGAUGUACCCUUCUUGUUCUUUUUAUGCCAGAAUGCAUCGUAAGAAUGGACAGUUCGCAUCAUUAAAAGAAAAUUCUGGCGGUUCUGGUUGGGACUUGGCACAAAGUACCCUUCAAGAUGGCACUCCUCGACCUGAAACUGUGUGAGUUCCAAGUCAAUUUAGUUUUUCCUGAUCAAUACUUGGAUAAUGUAUAAUAUUGAGUGAGAUUAGUGAAAUUCUUGUCGUAAUGAUCACACUGUUACCUGUUGUUCUGUGUGUUUUCAGCUUACGAAGAUGUCAACACUGUGGAGUUAGUGAAAAUAAUACUCCUGCUAUGCGCCGUGGACCUGCUGGUCCAAGAACAUUAUGUAAUGCUUGUGGUCUUAUGUGGGCAAAUAAGGUUUGUUUAUUCUGCUUUUAUAAUCUGAUAAGAUGCUCAUUACGUGAGUGUAAAUACGGCAAGCUCUCUCUCUCUCUCGUUGUUUUAGACGUGGUCGUAAUCAUUUGUUCCCAUCUCUUCUAGUCAUUUCAUUUUCCUUUACCAGUUCGUUGAUUGUACAGGGAACAUUGAGAGAUCUCAGCAAGGGAGGAAGGAGCCUUUCCAUUGACCAUAUCGAACCUGUAUGUGCAACCUUAAGAUAUUUUCUUCUCUUUCAGAAGUGAAAAUCCGAAAAUCCAUUUUUAAGUUGUGAAUUAAAUUUUUUUUAUGUGCGUGUACUGUGUCACGAGUUGGGUUGACCCCCUCCUUCCCUACCCUCCCCCCCCCCCCCAAAAAAAAAAAGACCUCUCCUUUUGUGGGUUGUCUUCAAUUUUUUUAUUGGUUCCUAAAAUACAUCUUUUGAUUGCUGAAUAUUUUAGCGCUUAAGAAUCAUACGUAUCAGAUGUUUUUGUCACAAUGAUAGAUAUAUUUGUGCUUUGCUGUUUCCUUUUUGCUGCCAUUGAAAUCUAUGUAAUGAAAAAAAUGAGAUCUGCAGGCAACACCACUUGAAAUGAAGCCAUCAAUUGUUGAAUGUCAAUUCUCUGCCAACCAGGACGGGCAUGUAUGUUGUCUCCCCACCCUCCCCCCUCGUCUUAUGCUAUUACCUCCUACAUGAAGUGUGAAGCUUGUUAUACAUGCCUAAUACCAUGGUGUAUGCAGGGAGCUCCUGAAGAUCCUUCUAAAUCAGUCAUUGAAGGGUCCAAUGAUGCUUCUGUCAACCUGGAUGUGGAUGUAUGUUUACCUUUAUGUUCACAAUGGUUUUAAAUGUGCCUAUGCAUCUUGGUAUUUUGUUUUUUUAGUACUGCUCGUCAUGCAAUUCAAAUACACUGUUGAUAAACUGUUUCUUUCUCCUCUGACUUGGUUUAACUAUUUUCAUUCACUGCAAAGCACACUGGUUCCUUUUCCUUGGUAUACUGGAAUUUAAACUAGUCAUAUGCUAUGUGAUAUGUUCACAUUAAGAAUUUGGAUCGACUUUGUAAGGUGAUUGAAAAAAAUAUCUCUUAAUUUCCGUGCUAUCGUGUUUUCCCUAAUUUGGUCAGGAAGAUAUACAUGGAGAUGACUAUCCAUAUAUCAGUGGUAUUAUCGAUUACUUUCUAUUGUGACAUAUAUUCAUGCAUGCAGAAUUUUCAUGAAUCUCCCGAGGAUCUUACAAACACUUUGCCCAUGGGAAUUGUUUCCUCGUCCAAUGAUGAUGAGCAGGUAUAAUGUGCUUAUCAUGACUGCAGAGUCUUGCCAUUACUAUGUUUGGUUCUGGUCUGCCAAUCUCAGUAUUGUACCACUCUGCUAUUUAGAACUAUGCUAUACUCUGAUGAAAUAUGAAAGCAUUCUUUGAAAUGUAAAUUAAACCUGUUGAUGAAAACUCUCUGAUGUAGAGUAUCUUACAUUGAAGUUUGGUAUCUGCAGGAGCCUCUGCUUGAGCUCCCUAGUACUUCAGAUACAGAUUUAGACAUCCCUACUAAUUUUGAUUAGAAGGUGAUGAGUUGUUAGCUGAUUGAUGUCUUGAAGUAUAGUUGGCACCUGGACCAUGCUGGUUUUAGUUUCUCUCAUGCCCUUGUGCAAGAUUCAGGCCAAAGGUAUUGUACGCAUGAAGUAGCAGUAUUUAGCGACUUCUGAGUUAAUAUAUGCCAAGAACCAUGACUGUCUGAUUGCAAUGAUCUUGUGAGUGGGGGCGGCAAAUUGGUUCUUUCAGAUGACAUUUGUUGAUGUGGAUAUAAGUUGUAUUUACCUUCUGUACGAUAGUUGUUAGGAUCAUAAGAAUGUGUAAUUUGUUUAGGUCUCUUCUGAUUGCAUACUAUUGAAAAUGCUGCCUUUCAAUUGUAGUAACAGUUAGUGUUGUUUGGAAUGAUAAGAUAGUUUUAUGGGAUGAAUGACAGUGUUAGCUUUAUACUUGUUUCUGAGGUGUGAUAAUAAAAGUGAAUUGAUGUCGGAUCUUCCUUUUUUUAAGAAUCGCCGUGUGGUAUCCUUGUGUCAGUGUCAAUGUCGGUGCAACAUAGGUGUAUACGUUAGCUCACGCGUUAGCAUAUGAAACGACGAACACCGUGAAGGUCACGAGUUUAAGAAGUCUAGACCCUUCCAACAUAGCCCAAAGAGGAAGAACAAUCAAACUUUGCCCGGCCCGAAACCACGCCCGGUAAGGAAAUAGAAUCAGCACCAUCCUCCGUAAUCAGUACUGAACGGUCUACAUUAGACCCGAACCUUCUAGACACUCCCUCCAGAAAGGUCUUUCUCUUUCCUAUAUAAACAUCCCCAAAUCCUCUCCACCACAACACUUCGAAAUCUUUCUGCAAAAUCAAAACCCUAAAUUCAAGCUUUUUCUCUGCGAUUCUUAAUUCUUUCAGCCAAGUCUUUUGAGGUACUGCAAUGGCCGGAAAAGGAGAGGGACCAGCGAUCGGAAUCGAUCUCGGAACCACUUACAGCUGCGUUGGAGUGUGGCAGCACGACCGUGUCGAGAUCAUCGCCAACGAUCAGGGCAACAGAACGACGCCGUCGUAUGUGGCGUUUACUGAUACCGAGCGUUUGAUCGGCGACGCCGCCAAGAACCAGGUCGCCAUGAACCCUGUCAACACCGUUUUCGGUAAGAUUUCCCAGAUCCUUUAUCUUUUUCCAGAUUUGUGCUUUAAUCAUUGUGAUCUAAGUAUGUGGUUUAGCUAAUUGCGUAGUGUAACAGAUAUUUGACUUGUUUAUGUAGCAAAUUUUACUGUGCAAGAUUUACUGCUGUCUUGUUUAUGGUGUUGGAAGCUUAAAUUGCAGCCAAGAAUUAAUUUCUUAUGGUUUUUGGCUUGAUGAGUUGAUGCGAUUGGUUAAUUUUUUGAAAAGAAAGUAGAUUAGUCUACUGGGUUUAUGAUAUUGUGAUGUUCCUAUUCGCUACCGGACCUGUUUUUGUUUAGCUAACUAGUUGGGUGAAUUCUGCUGCCAAUUUUUACUGCUUUAGAUUGUUCUAGGGUUUUUUAUGAUUCCGAUGAAAAGAUUAUCUUCUCGUGAUCUGUGGCUUUGUCGAAGUAAGAUUGUCCAUAUAUUUUCAACUGGAAUUUAUACAAAUUGUUCAAGUUUUAGUGUUAAUUUGGUGGUGUUAGUUAAGUAAAGUGCCUUUGAAUUUCUCUGGAGCUGUAAGUUUAGUUUGUUAAAAUUGUGUAUGGGUUUGCUGAUUGUUAUAAAAUCUUUGGGGUUUCGAGUUUAUUGUGUUUGAUUCUGUAUGAAUUGCAUUCUAAAUGGGAUUUGUGAUGAUUGCAGAUGCAAAGCGGUUGAUUGGAAGGAGAUUUAGUGACUCCUCUGUUCAGGGAGACAUGAAGCUAUGGCCUUUCAAGGUUGUUGCCGGCCCUGGUGACAAGCCCAUGAUUGUUGUUUCUUACAAAGGUGAAGAUAAACAGUUUGCCGCAGAAGAAAUCUCGUCUAUGGUUCUGGUCAAGAUGAGAGAGAUUGCAGAGGCGUAUCUUGGGUCAACAGUGAAGAAUGCUGUUGUUACUGUACCUGCUUACUUCAAUGACUCCCAGAGGCAGGCUACAAAGGAUGCUGGGGUCAUUGCUGGCCUAAAUGUGCUCCGUAUUAUCAAUGAGCCUACUGCCGCCGCCAUUGCAUAUGGUUUGGAUAAGAAGGCGACCAGUGUUGGCGAGAAGAAUGUUUUGAUAUUUGAUCUUGGAGGAGGUACUUUUGAUGUCUCUCUUCUUACAAUCGAAGAAGGUAUUUUUGAGGUGAAGGCUACAGCUGGAGACACCCAUUUGGGUGGUGAGGAUUUUGAUAACAGGAUGGUGAAUCACUUUGUUCAGGAGUUCAAGAGGAAGAACAAAAAGGACAUCAGUGGAAACCCAAGAGCUUUAAGGAGGUUGAGGACAGCUUGUGAGAGAGCGAAGAGGACUCUCUCAUCCACUGCUCAGACUACCAUUGAGAUUGACUCUCUGUUUGAGGGUAUUGACUUCUACUCAUCCAUCACCCGUGCCAGAUUCGAAGAGAUGAACAUGGAUCUGUUCAGGAAGUGCAUGGAGCCAGUUGAGAAGUGUUUGAGAGAUGCAAAGAUGGACAAGAGCAGUGUCCAUGAUGUUGUCCUUGUCGGUGGUUCCACUAGGAUUCCUAAAGUGCAGCAACUGUUACAAGACUUUUUCAAUGGAAAGGAACUGUGCAAAAGCAUCAACCCUGAUGAAGCUGUUGCCUAUGGCGCCGCUGUGCAGGCUGCUAUUCUGAGUGGUGAGGGUAAUGAGAAGGUGCAGGACCUAUUGCUUCUUGAUGUCACUCCUCUGUCCUUGGGUUUGGAAACUGCUGGUGGUGUGAUGACUGUGCUCAUUCCUAGGAAUACGACAAUCCCAACUAAGAAGGAGCAGGUUUUCUCUACCUACUCGGACAAUCAACCUGGUGUGUUGAUCCAGGUCUUUGAGGGUGAGAGGGCAAGAACCCGUGACAACAAUCUGCUUGGCAAGUUUGAGCUUUCCGGCAUUCCUCCAGCACCAAGGGGAGUACCUCAGAUCACUGUCUGUUUUGACAUUGAUGCCAAUGGCAUUCUCAAUGUAUCUGCCGAGGACAAGACUACAGGCCAGAAGAACAAGAUUACUAUCACUAAUGACAAGGGAAGACUGUCCAAGGAGGAGAUUGAGAAGAUGGUGCAAGAAGCGGAGAAAUACAAGUCAGAGGAUGAGGAGGUCAAGAAGAAGGUGGAGUCCAAGAAUGCCCUGGAGAACUAUGCUUAUAACAUGAGGAACACCAUCAAGGAUGAGAAGAUUGCUUCCAAGCUUGACGCAGGGGACAAGAAGAAGAUUGAAGAUGCAAUCGAGCAGGCUAUUCAAUGGCUAGAUGGCAAUCAGCUUGCCGAGGCUGAAGAGUAUGAUGACAAGGUGAAGGAGCUUGAAGGCAUUUGCAAUCCCAUCAUUGCAAAGAUGUAUCAGGGUGGUGCUGCUCCCGACAUGGGUGGUGGCAUGGAUGAAGAUGUUCCUCCAGCUGGUGGCAGUGGUGCUGGUCCCAAGAUCGAAGAAGUCGAUUAAGGAUUUGUGUUUUGAUUCAGUAAUUGUUUCUUCUCUGGAUAUUUAGGAUGUUUUUGUUUCCAACUAAGGUGGACUAUGGUUGUUUUGGGUGGUUUAGGCCUCCUUUUGUAUUUUGCUAUCUAUCAAUGUGAUUUGGUUCACCACCUUUGCCUAUUUCUUCAAGUUUCUGAUUGUUGUUCUCUUUUUCUCUUUUAGUUAUUAAAAUAUAUUGGGCUUAUUAUUUACUCUUUUAUACAAUAGAGAUCACCUCGUUAUGCAAUUUGUGGUAGCCUUGGGCUAUGUUGCGUUGCAAACCAUCAACCGUUAACCCUUCUUAUUCCAAGCUCGAGUCUUAUGAUAGGCAAAGGUGGUGACUGGUUAGGCAUUGAGAAGUUACCACCUGGUUAUGAUUAUGAACAAAUUGCACUCGAAGUACUUGACCGUUCACCACAAAGCUCAGCAAUUCGAGCAAAGAGUCUUAACCCAUUUUGUCCAUAGCAUUGUGGAUGCAACCCAGUCUAAGUUCGAAUCCAAUCUGCUAUUAAAGAGGUUAUCCGUUUCUGGUCGAGUCGAUGAUGCCCGCCAAGUGUUCGAUGAAAUGCCGAGCAGAGAUGAGUUCAGUUGGAAUACAAUGAUAGCUGCUUAUGCCAAUUCAGGAAGACUGACUGAAGCUAAACAAGUGUUUGAUGCCACCCCAAGUAAGACUGCCAUCACUUGGUCCUCACUGAUAUCUGGGUACUGCCGAAGUGAGUGUGGAAGUGAAGCUUUCCGGUUGUUUUGGCAAAUGCAGCUUGAGGGGGAAAGGCCGAGUCUUUACACAUUGGGGAGUUUGUUGAGGUUGUGUUCGAAAUUGGGUUUGCUCCAAAGAGGUGAAAUGGUGCAUGGUUACAUGGUAAAAACACGGUUUGAUAGUAAUGUUGAUGUUGUUACUGGUUUGGUUGACAUGUAUGCAAAAUGCAAGCGCAUUUUUGAAGCCGGGUGUCUGUUUGAGAGUUUGAGGAAUAGGAGAAAUCAUGUGGUGUGGACUGUUAUGCUUACAGGGUACUCUCAUAAUGGGGAUGGCUUGAAGGCAAUGGAGUUUUUUCGUGACAUGCAAGUGCAAGGGGUUGAAUCCAAUCAGUUCACAUUCCCUAGUGUAUUGACUGCUUCUGCAUCGGUUUUAGCUCUUGGUUUUGGGGCUCAGGUGCACGGAUGCAUUGUACAGAGUGGUUUUGGGCCUAAUGUGUUUGUUCAAAGUGCAUUAGUUGACAUGUACGUGAAAUGCGGAGAUCAUAUCAGUGCAAGAAAGGUGCUAAGAAGCAUGGAGGUUGACGAUGUUGUUUCUUGGAACUCGAUGAUUGUUGGGUGUGUAAGGCAGGGGUUUAUAAGAGAAGCUUUGUCUUUGUUUAGAGAAAUGCGUUCAAGAGAACUGAAAAUUGAUGAUUAUACAUAUCCAUCUGUUCUGAAUUCAUUUGCUGCGCUGAAGGAGGUUAAAAACGCAGUGGCUAUUCAUUGUCUGAUAGUGAAGACUGGAUUUGAGGUUUAUCAACUUGUAGGUAAUGCUCUUGUUGAUAUGUAUGCUAAACUGGGAAAUAUAGAAUUUGCAGUUGAGAUGUUUAGGUAUAUGCCAGACAAAGAUGUUAUCUCUUGGACCUCCCUGGUCACAGGCUAUGCACAGAAUGGCUCUCAUGAAAAAGCACUUAAAUUAUUCUGUGAGAUGAGGGAUGCAGGGAUCUAUCCUGACCACUUUAUCAUUGCUAGCAUUUUGAGUGCCUGUGCAGAACUGACACUUUUGGAGUUUGGCCAACAAAUUCAUGCAAACUUCAUCAAGUCUGGCCUUCAAGCAUCGUUAUCAGUAGAUAAUUCUUUUCUAACAUUGUAUGCAAAAUGUGGGUGUCUAGAAGAGGCUCUUAGAGUAUUUGAUUCUAUGCAAGUUCAAAAUGUGAUUACUUGGACAGCUUUAAUUGUUGGUUAUGCCCAGAAUGGUAGAGGAAAGGAGUCUCUGAAGUUCUACAAUCAAAUGCUUGCAACUGGUACCCAACCGGACUUCAUUACUUUUAUUGGCUUGUUAUUUGCUUGUAGCCAUGCUGGUCUUUUAGAAAAAGGUCAGUACUACUUUGAAUCGAUGAAUAGGGUUUACGGAAUAAAACCAGGUCCUGAGCAUUAUGCGUGUAUGAUUGACCUCUUGGGGCGCUCAGGGAAACUUAACGAGGCUGAGGCAUUAGUUGAUGAAAUGGCUGUAGAACCAGACGGAACUGUAUGGAAAGCACUACUAGCUGCAUGUAGAGUUCAUGGGAAAAUAGAGCUGGGAGAGAGGGCAGCGGAGAACCUAUUUAUAUUGGAGCCCAAGAAUGCUGUGCCUUAUGUUCAGUUAUCUAAUAUGUAUUCCGCAGCUGGUAGAUGGGAAGAUGCAGCAAGAAUCAGAAGACUGAUGAAAUCAAAGGGAAUUCUUAAGGAGCCUGGAUGUAGUUGGAUUGAGAUGAAUGGCCAAGUUCAUACAUUUAUGUCUGAAGACAGAAGCCAUUCAUGGACUACUGAAGUAUAUUCAAAAAUUGACGAGAUCAUGAUGUUCAUCAAGGAAGCUGGAUACGUGCCAGAUAUGAAUUUUGCACUUCAUGACAUGGAUAAAGAGGGGAAGGAGCUUGGCCUAGCAUAUCACAGUGAGAAGUUGGCUGUUGCUUUUGGUCUUCUCACCACAUCACCAGGGGCACCAAUUCGAAUCUUUAAGAAUCUCCGGGUUUGUGGAGAUUGUCAUACUGCAAUGAAUUACAUAUCACAGGUUUAUCAUCGGCAUAUUAUAUUGAGGGAUUCAAAUUGUUUUCAUCAUUUCAAAGAAGGGAAGUGUUCCUGUGGUGACUACUGGUAGGAAAUUCAUCCGCCAACUGUUUUUCGUUAUUGGUGGGAAAUCAAUUGGCUGGUUCGUGGUGUCACACUUCAAAGGUUGAGAAAUGCCCUCUUUUAUUGUUCCUUCUUCUCUGAUGUCUUUGGGUUAUGUAGAUCUGGAUUUUCACUAAAAAAACCUAAAGUUUGGAGUGUUUUAUGUUUGACACAGAUGAAAAUUUGAAGCUGCUGGAACUUGUACAAGCAAUGUUCGUCGAUCCUAUGACAGUUAACUGAGCACUGACUAAAAGGUCAGAAUUAGUUCUAAUGCUUGUUACUUUGUGUGAAUUAUGAUAUUUUUAUAAGUUAGAAUCAGUGCAUAUGUGUUGAUCUUUGAAAGAAACAUGGAUGAAUCUUCCCUUCAAAUGUGGGUUUAGCUGUAUUUGUGAUUGUGUUUAAUGGCAGUGAUUGUGAGGCUUCUGUUACCUUUUUUUCAGCCUACGCAGUGAAGUUUCUAUUUAACUUCCUAGUGAGUUUUCUUGGAGCUCUAGGGAGUACUAUGCUACAGGCAUAUGGCCGUCUAGAAUUAAAAACGGCACCAGUUCAUGCUCCUGCUGAGUGGUAUCUGGAAAAUGUCUUGCCCACAAUGCAUAGGUCAGUAAAUGCUUUUCACCCUAUUUCAAUUUUUUGUUUUGGAAUUCUAAGCUCAAUAUCUUGAUCUCAUAUACUAUUGUCCUAUGAUGUAUGCUCAUAGAGCUAGAUCCUACGUCCAUUUUGGAACUGGUCCUGGUAACUCAAGUUGUAGUCCUUUAAUGUCCUUUCUCUAAGUAAAACUAAGGGAAGGGCUAGGGUUGAGGUGGGAUGAACAGUCACACUUUUGAGUAUUCAUUAAUCACGAUGAUAUGAUUUACCUGUCAAGCAACCAGCUUUGAGUUACAAAUCUUUUAGCAUAUGUUAUUAUUGGAUUACUGUUGUCUGGGUAAUAUCAUAUGGACUAGGUUCAAGUAUCUUACUUUUGUACAACCCAACCUUCAGUAUAUCUGUAAAUGCAGAUUUUUGAACUUUAUGGUCAACAUUCAGGAUCUACUUUGAAAAUCUAUAAUUUAUGACUUGUAAGAUGUUAAUUGAUACAGUUAUGGAAUUGCUGCUAUUUCCCCGUUCUCCCAUCGUUUCUUUCGACAAAAUGCCUGAAAGCAUCCAGCGCCUACGUUGUAAAGUGAACUUUCAAGCUUUAGCCUUUGUUCCUCAUAUUAGGGAAGUGGGAGAAACCCUUGAUAAUCGUCUCCACAGCCCUCCUCUAAGACACCAAAAUACAGACUCACAAGAGGGAACAUAUGACCUUGAUAAACAGGGAGCUGAAAUUGAUUGCUUAUAUUCUCUUUCCCUGCACAUACUCAUAGAGAAUAUGGCUGCUCAUUCUGCCUGUUAUUUUGGUUGUAAAGCUGAGAACUUGCUCUUGCAUAAUAUCACCAAGUAAUUUGGCCGGGAAGGAUCCUAAAAUCUCAGCUCACAGAUGAGGAACUCAGAAUUCAGGGGCGUUGCCCGUUGAGGCUUGAAGAAAUUGUAUUGUUGCUAGCAGCUCUUGUCUUCAACAAUAGCACACGGCUUUAUCUUGCGUCCCACAAGGUUUGUCUUGAGUAAAAUUGUUGUUAUUAAUGGCCAAGGGUAGCCUCUUUGUUUCUUUGUCAAGAGAGCAAGUUGGUUCAGUCCUUAUAUAUUGAAUGAUUUAAUGAAGAAGUUUGAACAGGUGCAGUUUUAAUGAAUUGAAAGGUUUAAAAGAUAAUAUAUUGAAAGGGUCACUUGGCAAUAAAAAGGGUUUCAUAUGAGUUAUGUUACUUGGCAAUAAAAAUUGAAAAUUGUGUUAGCAGUUGGGGUUAUAAAGUGGAUGAACAAUUUACUUUCCUUUUUCAGGUUUAUGGCGGAGAAGCAAGGAUCACAACUCGCAGAAGAUUAUUUCCACUAAUGGAGGAUAAGAAGAGCCUUACUUCAGCCGAGCAAAGGGCCAAGGUUGAAGGCAAGGCUUCUCUGUCAGCUGCAGUUGACUAUUAUGUGAGCAUGCAAAGUGAUAUCUUCAUUUCUGCUUCUCCGGGAAACAUGCACAAUGCACUGGUAAUACUUAUCAAACUCUCAAUACUCAGUAACGGUUUCUGUUCUACAAGAUUGUAGGGGUUGAGUUAUAUACAUGGUUGAUCUGUAGACUGUAAUUGUACGCAAAUGUGAAAUUAAUGCCCUAAAUAGUCUGAUAUGACACGUGGAGUUCCUAUUUGGUUGAGACACUCACUAAAGCGUGUGCGUGGCUAUUUCAGUAUACACAAUAGGUAUUAAACAUUAUCCACGCCCAGAGGCUUUCUGGAUCAGUCCCAAUACCCAGAGGCCAGGAUUGUAGGUUUCUAGUAUCAGUCGUAUGAAUUAGAUUUUGAUAUGAUAUGUGAUGUUCCUUUUGUUUAAACAAGUCUGUCCUAUGUAGAAAGGGUGAUUUUAAAUGACUCUAUAGUGGUUCUGUUACUCUUUCAGUAUAAACUUCGAGGUAUUAUAAAGUUGUUUAGGCCAGGUGGCCUUUUGGAUUAGUCCAAUGGUCAUGGUGCCCUAAGGCAAAAGUUUUCGGUUGUUUUCUUUUCUCUUGAAUAGUAAGAUAUGUAUAAGAACAGUGACUUGAGUCCCAUCACAUUUGAGGUGUUCACAUGUUUUUAUUCUCUGAUACGUAAGAUUCACAUGCUCUUUGAUCGGAAAAUGUUUAGUUUUGCACUAAAAAACUCUGUAGCCAUCGUAUGGGUUGGGUUACACUGGCAUGCUCCUUUAAGCAUAUAUGUUGAUCUCAGCAAGUCAUUAUCCUCUUAUGACGUGAGAUGAACUAGAGUCAUGCACAGACAGUUUAGUUAUAUCACUUUGAAAUAUUAGUGGUAGAAAGGUUUGAAUCUCAAGAUUUAUUUUUGUGAUUCUAUUUCUAUUUCAGAUUAGUUAAAAUCUUUAGUUUAAUGUAGUACAUAAAAAUUUGUUAAAUAAUGGAACUUAUUUGCUUAUACAGUUGUAUGGAAGACAUUGAAACAUAAUAUAUACAAAACCAAAGGAGAAUUGAAAUUGCAAACCAUCACAGGGUAGACUUGAAUUAUAUGAUUGCUGGUGCUGUGCUUUGCUCUGCUGGCCUUAUUUUCUUUCUUUCAAUCUGUUCUGUACUGUGUUUCCGUAUGGGUCUCAUGCCAUUAACUUUGUAAAUUUAUCAUGGUGAACCAUUUACUUUUAUGUUUUACUCUUCCUCCAUUUAUUUUAACUUUGAAAUUAAAUCUUCUAAACUGUGGUGCCAAUGCUUGAUAAUGAAAUUGUAGUUACUUGUGGGAAGAGUGGAAAGAAAAGAAAAAGGGUAUGGAUCGAUCUUAUCAGACAUAUAUAGAAAAGAAAAAACAAAACAAUUACCUAAAUAUCUGUUUUAGAUGGAUACUGAAGUUUGAGGAUGAAGGAAUGAUUGCAGACUAUAUCGAGCAUAUGAUCGUUUUAUUCUAUGGAUUUUACCUUGUUUUCGUGCUAGUUUUUGUCCAACUAUACUUCAUUGUUAAGUUAAGAAAACCUUGGUGUUCAAAAUUUAAUGACAUACUUGGUUACUUAUAUCUUUAAAUUUUAGACUUCUGAUGUGACUUGUUCGAUUUCUUUAUGUUCUGUAGAUUAAUCAUACAAAACUGCAUUUUUUUUUUUCAAUUGCUAAAAACUGCAUAUCUCUUUACCAGCUUAAUGCAAUUUUUUUUUUUUUUUUAAACAAUGCUACAUGCUUUUGUGUAAAUAAUUCUUUGCUGAUCUAAAGUAGUAACAAGAUGAAAACAAAGAUUCAAAGAAAUAUAGGAAAGUGUAAUUAGACGAGCACAAAAAGAAUCUACUACAUUGAUAGAUAUUAACAAAAUUACAAGAUGAAUUGGCUUGAGAAGCAACCAAACCAACAAAAUUAGACACAAGAAUUGGUUUGAAAAGCCACCAAACCAACAAAAUUAGAUACAAUAGUCUCCGAAACACGUCGUAGCUACAACUACAACUAAGUAGCUACACUAAGAAUCCUAAAGUGGUAGAGCAAGUCUCAAAGCACUAAUCAGAACCAAAUUUGAAGAACUUGGGGAAUUGAUUAUCGACAAACGGCUCUAGUCAUCAAAUAGAUUGGACACUACCCAUUCUUGAAAACAAGACAUAGAAAUGUCAAUGCUUUCUUGUUCCUCCUCUUGAAGCUCGUCACCGAAAGCUAUCAGAAUAGGAGUCUCUUCUUCUUCUUCUUCUUCUUCCUCUGCCACCAGAGCAUCACCCAGUAGCUCAUCUUCCAAAAACAUGAGAUUCGGAUCAUCAAUUAAAUCAUCAACUGACAACAUUAUGUCCAGAUCAUCAGCAGCAAGAUAAUCAGGCAGCAACUCUUCCAGAGAGAAGAAUUCACGAGCCAUCUUCUUCUUCAUCUUCUUCAAUUCCCUUGGCUUUUUCACAGCCGUCUUGCUCUUCCUCACUAGCCUCAUCCUUAAUCAACACACCUCAACAAGUAAUAGGGAUCACAAUUAGGGUUUCAGGGAUGUUCGAGAGAUUGGAAUUAUAGGGUUUGGGUAGAGAAAUCGAGAUCGUAGAAAAUGAAGAACAAAUCGAAACAGCGAAUUGGGGAAUUGGGAAACAGAGAGAGAGAGAGAGCGAAUUGAGAAAGUGAGUUGUGAGCGGAGUGGGCUGGUAUAUUUAUAGACGCGCUUUCACUCUUUCAGGCAGUGGCAACAAACAGCGUGGGUUUUCUGAGCUGUCAAAUUUUGGUCUAAACAUCCCAAAAUGCCCAUAGAUUGCGCACUGAAGAACAAGAUACUAGGGUCAGUUACGUAAUUCACACAGGGGAAGAUAACUUUGCUCCUAACGGUAACAGAGACUUCGGGAAUUCCAUUUUGAAAUGUCCCGAUUAAAGGAGGCAAUUUCAGAAAGAAAAAAAAAAUGAAAUUAGAAAACUUUGUUAAAUAAUAAUAAUAAUAACUGAAAAGUGAGGACAUCCACACCAUAAGCUACCCUGCAUCCUUCCCUUCCCUGUUUUUUGACUUUUUUCUCGUCAAUCACGUAUGUGACGUUUCAGGGUUUGUCCGAUCAAAACCCAUGAAGCCCUACAGAAACUACUACUACUACUACUACUCCCCCAACCACUCUCAGAGAGCUGCCAUGGCUGCCCUCUUCCUCCUUCUCUUCCCUACCUUCUUCCCUAGUCUCUUCCCUCUCCUUCCAUUUUCUCUGCAAGUCACUCAAAAGCUUUCAACUUUUCAUUAAUGGAAACUCUUGGUUCUCUUUUUUUAGACUGAAACCUAAAUUGCAAUGUUGCAGCCUUGCAGGAAUGGAAUGCUUCAAAGCCCAAACAUUUGCUUCUUUUAGAAGCUGCCUUGUCAACCCAAUCUGUCUGGGCUUUUUGCUUCUUCAAAGAUCAUUUCUGCAAAUUUUUAGUCAUAUUGAAAAUCAUUGAGACAUUCAUAAGUGUGAUUUACCAACUAUGAAUGUUUGAUAAAUUUGGCUCGUCCAUUAAUUUGAUCUAGUUUGUUACUUUAACGAUGACCGAUUUGGUUGAAAAUUUGUAUAAAUAAUCUACUCAUAUAAACCUAAAAACUGAACGAAUGAGAUGUCAAAAUGUGAUAGAAAAAUAGGUCUUUUAAACCAUAAACCAAAAAGUCCUUAACCUAAGGGUCCUCACUAGAAUGACUCUCAUGUGUAAGAAUGUGAGAUACCGUUUUGAAGUUUUACAAAGUUAAGAUACCAAAAGUUAGAAUGACGGAAAUGUCAAGAGUGAAAACUUAUUGCUGAAAAAAUUAAUAAAAUAUAUAUGGAUGAGGUCGUUUUUAAAACUUGUUAAAUGGUUUUUGUUUUUUGUUUUUUUUUUUUUUUUUUUACGAACAGUUAAGAGUGAGAGUGGAUAACAGUGAGGAGGAAGCUUAUUGAGUGCUUUGACUAGGAUGUGUAUUGUCAUACUGUAAUCUCCAUACUGUUUUUUGGGUGGGAUUUAUAAAUAAUAGCCACUAUAUAUAAAACUAAGUUUCUUUUUACUAAUGCAGGAAGGAACAAUUUGAAUAUGUAGUGGUUGCAGACUUGCAGCCAGGCUUGGCCUAGCAUUCGACAAGCUUCAACUUCAACUACACACCAUCUUAAACUUUGAUCAAAUUCAAUUGUUCGACUGCAUUUUGUCUAUUCUAUAUAUAGUCAAUCUCAUAGCCACUUCACGAAAUAAUUCAGUGUAAACUCAAUGCUAGAAUUCAGUGUAACUCAAAUGUUAGACGAGUAUGAAUGACAAUGAUGGCCAAUAACAUCAUGGACAAUAUUCAUUUCUCUUGAUUUAUUCUACAAUCAAACUCUCAUGAAUCUCAUUCAUUGAAGCUUACAAAUUUGCUUUACACAGCAGAGCAAAUUCUACAACUAUUACAAUGAGAGGGUAGUUGAUAAAUAGGCCACACUUGCAUUUCAUGAAAUUUAACCUUGUAAUUAUUAGUCUCUUCCACCAUAAUCGGCUGAUGAUGAUCUUGAUGGACAAGAGUGCUGCCUCAGGGUUUCUAUAUAUAGGUAUAUGAACCUGAACACCAAUCCUCUGCAUCAUUACCGUUCUUCUUCGCAAUAGCUGUUGCUGUUGUUGUUGUUGGUUGUACUUUUUCAGGGUUCUUCCUCAAGACGCAGAGUACAAGUUCUUGAUCAGUAGCGUCAUUGUUGUGAGUAUUAGUCUUCAUCUGGUACUCUCGCAUCAACCAAGCCCCAUUCUGAUGGGGAUCACAUCCAUCUUCAUACUGAUAAUCUCGUCGGAUUCCAAUAACACUGCCAUCCUUGUCAACAACAUCUUCUGAACCCUCCUCGUCAACAUCAUCUUCUGAACGCUGCUCUCUCCAAGUUCCGGAACCCACCUUCAGAUCGAAACACUUGGCAGUUGGAUUGAACUUCUUGCGGUGUGUGUAGAAAUAGAGAGCCUCUACAUCGUCAGAUUUAUUACCACCGUACUGGUCCCAAAUAACCCAAGGCUCGUUUUGGCCGUAGAAGCCAGGACAACCGGAGACGAAUUUGGUCUGGAACUGGUCACCCAUAACAGCUCUGUUGAGGAGGUAGUGACCCACCAGUUCCUUGUCAGUAGGAUGAAAUCUCAUACCCACUCGAAGACCAUAAUACAUAGACAUCCUUGUUGACGAUCAAUAGAGAGGAAAUAAGAUUGGAGAAUGAGGACUACUAGACGAAGGGAAGAUAAACAAGCAACAAUAGUGAGAAUGACUUCACAGGAGGGCAAUGAUGAAUUUAUAGAGAGAGAGAGAGAGAGAGAGAGAGAGAGAGAGAGAGAGAGAGAGAGAGAGAGAGAGAGAGAGAGAGAGAACGANNNNNNNNNNNNNNNNNNNNNNNNNNNNNNNNNNNNNNNNNNNNNNNNNNNNNNNNNNNNNNNGAGAGAGAGAGAGAUUUCAAAAUAAGACCGUUGGGGCAGCAAGGAGACGUUGAGGUUAAACGGUCAAAUUGAUCUCACUUGAGGCACUUCCCUUUCUCUCUGAUUUUAAACGUUUGAGCACUCCUAACAUUUACAUUUUACAUACAAUUCUGCUACGGGUGUUACUAAAUGGACCUAGCAAAUGCCUAAGUAUACCCAGCAACUAAAAAGUUGUCAUUUAAUUCCAAAUUUGCCCUUAUUUACACACCCAGCAGCAACUCUCUCUCUGCUCUUCGGUUAUCAACGUUGCUCUCUUUCUCUACCCAGCACCUGAGAAUCUUUCAAGAACCAUUCUUACUUUGUGUGGUCUCAUUCUGGCUUCAAUUAAUGGGUUUAGGGCUCCGUUACAUACAUUGGAUUAACUAGGUCUUUUCCAUUAGAAUUCUAGAGGCAAUUACAUUAAUCCAACCAAGAAACGUCAGCUCUUGCUUGGCAAAGUAUCAGAAGAUAUCAAUCUCAUGAAAUUAAUUAUGGCUUUUUUUUUUUCUUUCUGAGAAACCCAUAGCUUUAAUGGUUUUGAUAUAUGAAAUAAUCCUCAACAAAGCAUUUGAAAAUCUUGUUUUCAAAAAGAUUAUAAUUACCAUCACGCAUAGGAACAUCUGAAUAUGAGAUCACAACGAAAAACUUUGAUAGAGAAUGUAAUUAAGGAGAAACUGAAUUCAUGAUUAAGGCUCUUGACCCAGAUUUGUAAAGCUUUUUGAUAUAGAAUUGUGGUCGAUGCUGGGUUGCGAAAUUCAAGAACUCUUUCAUCUCCCACACUAUUUCUUCCUCUUCUUCUCUUUGUGGAUUUAUGCCUCAAAUCGAUUAUUCCUUAAUAAAUUGUUUGCUCCAGAUCAUUGUAUUGUUCAUAAAACAAAAUUCUGGUAAUGGAAGAGAGGGAGAGAUAGCGAGAGGUGUUGGGUAUGAUCUUUUGAAGAUUUGCUGGGUGUAAAUAGAUACAGGGGCAAAUUAAGAAAAUGUGUGACAAAAGUUGAAGUGUUGGGUAUAAUUAGUAAUUUGCCGGGUACAUUUAGAAACAACCUUUCUGCUAGGGCUGGGCACUUAGUAUCGGAAUCCUGAUCUCGUAUCGAUUCUGUACUGAAAGUUAACAGGACGGGAUAAAGUUUUAAAAAUGCAUAUACCGUACCAUUCCAUCCCGUUAUUGAAUUUUAAAACGGGAUCGGGACUAUCCCGAAAAAUCCCGUCCCAUCCCACGAUAUAAAAAUAUCUGAAUUUUUUUUAUUUUUUAUAUUGUAUUAGAUCAUAUACAUUCAUUUCUUAAGUUGUAUGAAAUCAAUGACACCUCUCAAAUGAUUUCUCAAGGAUACUUCCAUUUCAUGCACAAUCCCUAUUUGGCCUCACCCUCACAAGGACACUUACAACCUUUCUCUUCUAUAUAUCUACAAUAAAACCUCUACAAAUAAAUAAUGUUAGAAACAUUAAAAAUUAUACUUUAGAGAGAUUAUUAUAUUAUCGAUAGACGUACAAUAUUCAUUUAUCGAUAAUUUAUUACUUUAUAUAGAGUUUCCUUAAUUUUUCAUAACAAAGGACUUUAUAUAGAUAUUUUGGGAAAUAACUAAAUUGAGGAAUUAAAAUUGUUAAGAGUUUUCUUAAUUUGUAUUAUUAUGAACAUUAAUUAUGUUUUUUUUAUUUAUUUUUUUAUUUUUAAUAUUUUUGGAUGAUUUUCUUUUUUGGCUAUUAUGUCGAGACGACCCGAUCCCGUCCUGAUCCGGCCCGUCACCAAUCGGGACGGGAUGGGACGGGAUGUUUUAAAAACAGCAUCCCCGUACUGUCUCGUCCAGUUCUUUUAUUUUCGGGACGGGACUAGAUUUACCAAAUCCCGUCCCAUGCCCAGCCCUAAAUUCUGCAAGGAAUAUAUAGAUGGAUCGAUAAACUUUUCAAGAGGUUAAUUUUAGGGAAGUGAAAUCCACACUCUCUAAAUUGUAAUCCACACUCCCACUUUCCAUUUGUGGUAACUUAAAUUUUGUUUUUAGUGACUUAACUUUUGUCUUCUUAUGAAAAUGAUGACUAAAAAUAGAAAAUAGGAGUGUGGAUUACAAUUUGAGGAGUGUGGAUUUCACGUACGUCCCUAAUUUUAUUGUCACACAGUGGUGUUCACAUGGUCACUAGGUCAUGGUCAAUUACUGUUGGAUGUAAAUCCAAGAGUGGAAAACAAAACAACUUAACUUUAAAAUAAUACUUCAUACAUAUCCAAGAGUGAUUGACGACCAUGAUUUCUUUGGUCACUAGGUGACCUUAUGAACACCACUGCACUACCACAUAUGAGGAAUAUGCUUCUUUGGUUCUUAAUUCUUAUGGCAAUGAGGUAACGACGUACUAUUAAGUUCACAAUUCGCUUAUGAUAUCUAUCAUCAACUGAAUUAAGCAAUGCUGCAUGAACUUUAACAAGGCUCAUAACUCUUUUACAAACAAAGAAGAAGUUUGAUCAGUCAAUUUUGACUAAUUAGUUACAUGAUUUGUUCCUGGAGUCCUACUCUCCACUCUUGCGCGCCAGGCUAACUGCAAGAAAGAAGCUGCAAAAUGAGAACGCUCAAGAUCCGAGAGGUUCAUCAAUCCGAAAUGUAACGGAAAGUUGGAGACAACUCUCUUCAAACUGGUAGCAUUGAUAGAAUAUGCUUCCAACUUUGUCUGGGAAAUAACAGUUCUCUUCGAGAUGGGCAACUCAACUCAGCAAAUGACUCGAGUUCGAAUGCCCAAUUUAAAAGCUCCUCUCCGUAGAAAUUACCGGUUUGAAUGCAAUCAAUUGAGGAAAGACUAGUACUUUCACCCAUAUUAUCAUUAUUAGAGCUGCUACUGGGUUUGUAGGUCAAUGCAGUUCCUUGAGUGAUAAACAACAUAUUCCAAAGUGGUUCUCUUUUUCUAAGAAUAUAGGAGUUCAUUGUAUAGGUCAUUGGUUCAAGAUGGUUACAGAUAGCUUUCAACACUCGUGGACUUAUCUUUUCAAGCAUUGGUACCUACGAGUAUAUAUAAUUUCCAUUAGUAUAUAUAGAAGACAUGACAAACAAAUAAAAUUAAACAAUCAGUUACUGAAAGUUGCCGAUUCUACGGUACGUAUAAUAUAUAGGAUCAAUGUACUUACUUUCUUUAGUGAAGCUAAACGAAGAGAGGACAUGAUAUAUCUUCUGUGUAUUAUGGGAAGAACAGACAAUAUAUUCAAGUUCUGCACAAUAACAUCUUUGUCUUCUUCAAGUUUUUGUCGAACACUUUUCCUGAUCAACUUGUUUAUAUCUUUAUUAUUUGUAAGACUGUUUCUAGAUAACCACAAAUUAAUCUAUCUCUGGAUUUAUCAUCUGCAUCUUCCGAGCUAGUUUAAGUGCCUUUGAUUUUCUUUUCACCACCUGCAUUCCCGACAAAGGCCACAAGUCCACCACAUGAACUCCAUGCAUGAUUGCACAUACGUACGUUUCAUUGAUUCAUUGGCCAAUCUUGAAAUAUAUAUAAAUAGUAAUUGCUUAUAAAUAUAUAUACAGAAACAAGUUAAUGAAGCAGCUUACAUAUAUGACAUAUAUGAGAGCUAGAGGUGGCAAACGGGCCGGCUGGUUAAUCGGGUAUCGGGCCGUGCUUGGGCCGGCCCACGACGGGCCACUUCUUAACGGGUUCGGGCUUGGGCCGGCCCAUUUACUCAAAUGUAAGGCCCAGCCCGACCCACGGCCCAAGCCCAUAACAUGGUGGGCCGUGCUCGGGCCGGGCCGGUCCGGGCCCAUGAACGGGUCAUGUCGGGCCCGUUUCGUGUCGAAAAUUGAAAAUGGUCGAGAUGAAUGUCCUAUACCACCGCUUCUACUCUCAUAAUCUCAACUUUUAAUUAUACAUGAUACGAUUACAAACCAAAAUUAAUUCACAUAAUCUAUCGAUCAUUUUUUUCUUUGUUAACAAACUAAAGAAAUAAGUGAUAAAUGCUUAUAAUUAAUAAAUUUUUAGGCAAAGACUUCUUAUGAGUCCAAGGGAAUACAAAUUCAUACUCAAAUAAAUAAUUAUUAGUAUAUAAGUAUAUUGUUCACAUUCAAAACUAAGUUUAGUAUUUAUAAAUAUGUUAUCUUCAUAUUUAUAAAAUUAUAUUUUAUAGCGGGUCGAGCCGUGGGCCUCAUAUUAUCGUGCUUGGGCCGGGCCGAGCCUAUAACGGGCUCGGACCGGGCCGGGCCCAUGGGCUCAUUUUUCUAAGCCCAGCCCGACCCAUUAGAAUAACGGGCUUGGGCCGUGCCGGAAACGUGCCGUGCUUGUGCCGUGCCCGUGUUUAACAACCCGUUUGCCACCUUUAACGAAGACUUUUAAGUUAAGGACUAGUUUAAGACUUUUCAACUUAUUCCGUUUUUUGAUCUUAUAUCCACAUCUUAACCAUUCAAUUUAUAUAUAUUUAUGAAUAGAUUAUUUCUGCAAAUUUUAAGCCAUAGGGCAAAUUCUAUGAGUAGAUUUAUUUGUGCAAAUUCUACGACCUAUAGGGCAAGCCUAGGAUUAUUUUUUAUAGAAAAUUUCAUUAAAGUCACAUUCUCAAGAUUUUUUGUAACACAAGUCCACCUUAAUAUUUUUACCCAUAUAAGUCCAUUUUUAAACCUAAAUCUGUCAUUUUACAUUUACGAUGUUCCUAAACUACCCUUAUUCCCUACAAAUCAGUUUCUCUCCCUUAUUCUCACACGAAUCCUUUUCACUUUCCCCUCUCCCUCUCUCUCUCUCUCUGUGGCUCUUCGUCUUCCUCCUCCAUCUCUUCUCCGAUCUCAAAUCUCCGGCCAUGGCGGCGUCUUAGGCCAACACCUGCUCGACGACGAUGGCUCGGCGCUGCUUGAUCGAUAGAUGACGACGUCGCCAGAUCGAUGACAACAACGCCUGGAUCUUGACGCUGCUAAAUCUUCAUCUCUCUUACAUCAAUGACGCUCAUCCCAGACUCAUCAUCAGCCCCGAUUGGAGUCGGGAGCUCCGUCACCGACUCGUCGACCUUCCACGCCGCAGACUAGUUGGGAGCUCUUCAUCUAUGGCCGUCUGAUUCGUUCGACGACGUAUGGAGCCCGCUGCUGAUCUAGUCCUCUCGUCGUCGUCACGGUGCCCUCGGCCGUCAUCUUCCUUAAUGAAGUAAGUUGAGAAAGCUCUCAAACUCUCCGAUCUGAGCAAUCAAUAUUAUUCCAGGUAAACCUCUUCUCCUUUCUUUGAUUUUUUGAACAUCCUCAAAAUGUUUGGUUAUGUGUUGAUUUCGUUGCGUUUAGAUUGAUAUAGAGCUUUAUGUGGUGUAGUAUUGAUGAAAUUGAAGCUCAAAUGUCUUAGAUCUUUGACUGAAUUAGGGCUUGGAAGAGAUGAAGAUGUUUGCUAAGCAGAGAGCUCGUAAUUCUGUUAUGGACAAGUUUUAAUCGAAUUAGUGUGAUAAAGGUUUAUUAGUGUGCCACUGGUUUUAAUCGGAACAAGUUGAUACUAUGAUACAGUGAUAGUAGCUUUCCAUAAUUGUCGCAGCAUCUUUCUGCUACUGUGAUAGUAUCUUUGUGUGCAUGCGGUAGUAUCUUGUUGUAGUAUCUUCUGCUACUAUUCGACGGUUUUAUGAGCUAAAUUAUGUGAUCUGAGGAACUUAAAUGUUGGAAAUUAUUUAGUGAUUUCAUUGCAGUAGUUGAUUAGGAUUGAGUUUGAUUUUUGUUAUUUUGUUUUAAUACAGGUCAUUGAUGUUUUUCAUUUAGGGAGACCAAAUGUUUCCAAGGUAUGAUAUUAGUUUUUGUCUCUUGUAUUUUUCUGUCUAUCUCCAAUUUCGUUUGUUGAGUGUUGAUUAAAGUCUUGAUUUGCUGUAUAUAUGGUGAAUUUGAUUUGUUGUCUAUCUCCAACUAUGGCACUAUGAGAAUUCUAUGUCGACUGUGUUUGUGUAAUUGCCCUUUUUUUUGUCAUUGUCUUUAUUUGCUCUUUUCGAUUACAUUUAGUUUCUACAACUGUUAUAGUGUUUUUACCAUUCUAUGUUAGUAGCUUUUAACAUGAUGUUAGUUGCUUUUGUAUUGUAUGAUAGUAUACUUUCAACAUAGUUAUAGUAUCUUUUUAUGUCUAUGUUAGUAUUUUUUUUUUUUGAUAAUGUAGUAGUAUCUUUCUAUGUCUAUGUUAUUUAGUAUCUUUUUGACACUAUAGUAGCAUCUUUCUACGUUUGUGUUAGUAUCUUUUCAACAUUAGGGUAGCUUUCUCAUUGUGUGAUAGUAUCUUUUCAACAUUGGGAUAAUAUCUUUUCAAUAUUAGGGUAGUAUCUUUUUAAUGCGAUGUCAAUAGCUUCUAUUUUCAUUUCAAAUACUAAUAUUUGUUUGUUUCUUUGUUCUUGCAGAUUUUUUCCCUUUCAUUUGUAAGACUAGAUUUCGAAAAUCAUGUGAAGUUGGAUAUUGAUCCCUCCUUAGAGAUCAUUAGGUUAACCAAGAAAAUCGUGCUCAAGGUGGAGAAAUUGAGCAUCACCAUAAAAUAAUAAUAGUAGCUUUAUACAGCUAUUGUAGUUGAUAUAUAUCCGGAACUAAAGUAGUAGCUUUAUGUAACUACAGAAUUAGCUUUAUACAUCUAUUGUAGUAGAUAUCCGGAACUAAAGUGGUAGCUUUAUGUAACUACAGAAGUAGCUUUGUACAACUAUUGUAGUAGAUAUCCGGAACUACUUUUUGUACCGUUAAAUUUGUUAUAUUCUCUUGAUUGCAGUAGCUUUUGUCGAGGGUGAUAAUAGCUUUUGUUACUGGUCACAAUAGCUAUUGUUAUGCUUGGUAGUAGUUUUUGUUUUGCUUGGUAGUAACUUGUGUUGUUAGCGACACUAUCUUAUAUGACCUCGUUGAAGGUCGUUAAAUCUCACCAUAGUAGUUUUUGUUGCUGGCCGUAGUAUAUUAUGUUGGUGGCAGUAGUAGCUUUUUUCACUAGUGGUAGUUUCUAUUGUUGGUGGUUUUGUUAGUAGCAGUAGUAGUUUUUUUUUGUUAGUGGUAGUAGCUCUUUUAGCUGACGGUAGUAUCUUUUGUGGUCGCCUGAAUCAUCACCGGAGGCUAGUAGGAAAAUUCGCUAGAGGUCGGCUGGAGACUUUACCGGAAAAGAGAGUGAUUGUUGACUUUUUAAAUUUGUGACAUUUUUGUAAAUAUAAGAAAGAAUCUAAUUUUUAUGAUUGGAUGACAGUAUGUAAUUUUGUUGAACUUCAAUACGACAAUACCUAAUACAAAACUUUAUUUUAGCAUGGGUGGAUUUAUAUGAGUAAAAAUGUUUGGGUGAACCUAUAUAGAAGAAAAUGUCUCAAAGUGGACUUCUAUGUAAUUAGCCAUAUUUUUUAGGGCUAGUUUUCUGCUAUUUUUGUUCUCGUGUAUAUGAAUUUGAUUUUAGUAUUACUUUUCUUAAAAUAUUUUCAUUAAGGUCUCAAUUAAAAUUUCAUAUACUUAAAACUCGGGAUGGCUUAAUUAAACAAUCUUACUUGUAAAGACUAAAGAGCCAGCACUAACCUACAACCUCCCAUCCAGAUAAAUCAAAAAUAACAUUAUGCCACUUAUAGAUAUAAGAGUCACGAACAAGAUUUCCAUCGAAUCGAAAUUGGUCUGCAGGUUUGAGCCAAAAGAACUGCAAAAUUGAUAUAGUGGAGCAAUAUAAUAGAUGCUAUAUUUAUAUAUAUUUCAAUUUUUAUAAAAUAACAAGUAAAAUAUGGGGUUUUCUCUCUAGCUAAGUUUACAUAUAGGCUGCUUCGCACCUCUUUCGAUCUUAGUUCUCACAUCUUACCAUGUUUGAUGAGGUUUCAACCCGUUUCGUUGCUGCCUUUGCCAUCCAUGGUAAUUGUCGACUCUCUUAGCUAUAGGGCUGCUGGAGCCGUUGUGGUUUCGUCGCACUCUUUUGCGGUGAGAUGUCUAAUAUCCGCCAUAAAAAGAAGGAAGCCAGAGGUACGAGCGAUUAUUGGAACACUUACCUCUGUUUGGGAUUUGUAUAAUAGUUGCAGACGCGUGCUCAAGGGGAUUGUUUUGUUCUCAGAUUGACUGAGGCGGAGGAACGACGUCACAUCCUGAAUGGGGGGUAUUGGUUGUAUGGCAGGUCAAUGUUCGUGGGGGUUGAGUUUGAUGGGCUGAGUGACCUGGCUAAGAUUUCGAUCACCACUUCCCGGUGUGCAUCGAUAUUCGUGGUCUGCCGUUGAUACUUCUCAAUGAUGAUGAAAUGGAGUUGGUAGGGGAGACGCUAGGAAAGGUGGAUCAAUUGGACACGUUGAGUAUUCGGUAUCCAAAAAGUCACUAAAGCUUGGGUUUGGAAUAUUACUCAUUUGAUUUUCGAUCUGAUUAAGAAGUUUACCUUCCCAUGAAGUUUGAGUUUGGAUUAAAGAGAGCCACUGAUGGCCUCAGGUGAUAGGUUGCCUGAGGAGGUAGUAAGUCGAUUGUCCAAGUGAUCAGAGCGGGUCUUGUUAUGCCACCUCAUGGAGGUAGUAAGUUGGGGCUUUAAAAAGGUCUGCAUUUGGUUGUUGAUAUAUGAAUCCUACAUGGGAAAAAUGGGACCUUGUAUAUAAGUUUAUAAAGGUUUGGGUCACUUCAUCUAUUGCUAAUUGGUUUUGGAUGUGAACCCUAGACUACUUUAUCAUGGUACCACGUCCACGUGUGAAAGCCCAAUCAUAGAUGAUGAUUUGGACCUCAACACUUUUGUUCAAGAACAUUGCCACACUGGUAUGUAACUCUCAUCUCGAAAUUCUGACCUAAUCUGAUAUUGUUGUUGUGGUCGUCUAGUCAAUGUCCUCCUUCUACUUAUUCUCAUAGCAUUUUGAGUGUGCGCUUCGAGUUUCUGAUGGGUUUUUGUCGCUCUGGUAAGAAAACUAAGAUAGAUCGGUGCUAGUUUUACUCAUGUUCUCUUUUAUGUGGAUUUGGAUGAGAAUUUUGCUCUCCGCAAUGAGGUCAUUGAGAUAAUGCCAAUUAAGAAAUGUGUAAGGCCUAAGGGCAGUAUGAACAAACUUAGUUCAAAGCCUAAGGGUCUGAAACCUCGUCGCUAUCAGAUUCUUAAAGGUUUUAGAGUUGAGGAUGUAGUUUAGGUGAUGCUAGAAGUGAUUGAGGCAUGAGUGGGAGAUGUGCCUGGGGAAGAGUCUGAGCUUGUGGAGUUUCCUCUAUACCGUGGGUGGACAAUAAUGAAGAAAUAUGAUGUCAAGGGCGUACGAUUCAUCUGUACGUUUCAUUGAUACUCAUGGAUGAAAAUUGAAUUACUUUGGAAGUGCUUGAUGUUUUAAAAAUACUGUUUGUGUAAGGGUUUUUUAAUUUGUUAGCCCCACAAGGGUAACCUAUUAUGUAUAGUAUUAUGCUGAUCAAUAAAUAAUUAAUGAUACGUUAUCCUAUUUCCAAAUAACACUAUAUAUAUAAUCAAAUAUAUAUAACUUAGCAAACGAAUAUGUGUUAUUAUGUGACUCUUUGAUUCUAUUGUAUUUUUAUGGUAUUUAUAAUUUGAUUGUUGUACUUGAUUAGUUUGGUUCCUAAAAUGCUUUGAUAUAACUAUAAGGGACACUUAAUAUUUUUGUUUCUUAAAAGAGUAGUAUAGAUAUAUGAUAAAUCGAUCUUUUUGCCAAAAAGAACAAAGAAAAUCAUUACUCAAAAAACAAAACAAAAAAUCAAAUAAUAUUGUAAUAGCAAAC